UGGAAACCUGAGCCGGCAUGACGGGAGAAAGGACAGUAUGGCGCCGUUUGGAGGGUAAUUAACGAUAAUUAACGAUGCUGGCAGUGAGGGAAAUAUUUGGCGCGAAUGUCGGUGAGUUCGUGAAGCUUCGUGUGCUGCCAUCCACCUUCCACUCCAGUCCUGGAAACCUCCACCUGUCCUGGUCCUUUAACCUCCUCUAAACGGUCUGGUUCUUGUCUCCUCGUGGAAAUGUCGUGACUGCCUUCACAUCAGUCAGGUAAGAGUCUGUUUUGUGUGUUUUUCUCUGUUUGAAGGCCCUGUUUGAAAGUUUGUUUGCUAGCUGCUAGCAUGCUCCCUCCUCUUGCUAACACCUGUUAGCCUCUUUCCUGUUGCUGCACACCUCUGCUUGUUUGUGUUGUUUUUUUCUGGUUUUGUGCAGCUCUUUACCUCCAUGUUGUCUGCUUCUUUGUGUUGUUUAUUUGGAGUUGUGCAGCUCUUUACCUCCAUGUUGUCUGCUUGUUUGUGUUAUUUUUCUAAAGUUGUGUAGUUCUUUACCUCCAUGUUGUCUGCUUGUUUGUGUUAUUUUUCUAAAGUUGUGUAGCUCUUUACCUCCAUGUUGUCUGCUUGUUUGUGUUAUUUUUCUAAAGUUGUGUAGUUCUUUACCUCCAUGUUGUCUACUUGUUUUGUUGUUUUUCUGGAGUUGUGUAGCUCUUUACCUCCAUGUUGUCUGCUUGUUUGUGUUGUUUUUUUCCGGUUUUGUGCAGCUCUUUUCCUCCAUGUUGUCUGCUGGUUUGUGUUGUUUUUUUCUGGUUUUGUGCAGCUCUUUUCCUCCAUGUUGUCUGCUUGUUUGUGUUGUUUUUCUGGUUUUGUGCAGCUCUUUUCCUCCAUGUUGUCUGCUUGUUUGUGUUGUGCUGAAUGUGUGUGGGCAGGCUGCAGUUUGAUGUUGUUGUCUGGGUCGGGUUUGCAGCAUUUCUCCCUGCUGUUUUUCUGCUGCUUUUGUCAUGUUGGUGUGUUUUUUUAUUUCACAGCUGACUGUAAACAUCUGUGCUGUUGUGGGUUGCUCAUCCACAUGUGAACAUCUUUGUUGUCUGUUGCCGUUGCUCACACACCGGUAUGUUUUUUAUUCCUUAGAUUUCUGCUUGAUGAAAAAGUCAAGCUGGCUCUCACACAGAGGGAGGCGUUGAGUCACAUAUUUACCUGCUACAUUUCAUGUCAAAACACCGAGUUUAUUUGGCAGCUCGACUUUCUUUAUUCCUGAUAUCAUUAACAAAGUGCUCUGAAGUUAACAGCUGCUUAAAUCCAUGCAAACCUGCAGAUACAGUCCAAACAAAACAACUUUAUUCAUAUCAUGAGGAGCAGUUUAUUUAACCCUCACAACUCCAAGAUAGAUUUUGCUAUUUUUGGUCCGCCUGGGUUUCAUGUAAAAAUCUACAUCUGUCUAUAAAAUAUAAACACAUCUUUCUUUUCAGGACAACCUCAUCUGUCAGUUCAUGGAGCUAAAAUGAUGUAAAAUGAAUGUGACAGUAGAUUCAGUCAACCAAAAAACAAAAACUGAAAUUGAGACCAACAGUACUUUGCUCAAAAAACACAUAAAUCUACAGUGACCAAGCCUUUUCUCACCUGCACAUCAUUCUCUCAAGUCUUGGCUAUCAGGAGAAGAAAUAUUGGGAUUGGAACAAACACACAACAGAAACUAUUUACGUAUUUACACUCAUUCUUCCAGGCGUUUUUUACUAUUUACAGUUGUUUAUUAGGGCCCGACCGAUUUAUCGGCGAGCCAUUUAAAUAGUCAAAUUUUAGCCUGUUUGAGACUUAUCGGUAAUCGGUCAAAACUACUGCUCAGAAUCUCUUCUUUGCUUGUUUCCAAGCAUUGAGGACCAUUAUUUCUUAUUUUGCAGACAAGCAGGGAACUUUCUUGUCUCUUGUUGAUCUUUGGUUUUCUCUUACUGGACACUACCGUCAAGGGAACGAUGGAAGAAGAAUAGGAGACCAUAUAAUUGGUCGAAAGUUUGACAGAAAAAGACGUCAUCAAAACAGCUUGAAGACAUUAGAGGAAUUUAGCGAUAGCGGUCUUUUUUUAAUCACAACAAUCUGAUAAAGAAUCAUGUUUUCAGCGGUUUAUCACUGCAGAUUUACCAUCAAUCGUCUCUGAUCAAACACCUUUAUUUGUGGCUGGUUUGUAAACCUUGUGGCAGGUGUAGAAAUGUCUGUAAACCCUCGAUAGAUCGCCAAAAGGGUAAACUUUUGAACACUUUUUAUCCCACAGAGAUACACGGUAUAGUUCCUGAGAAACUGUAAACUAUAUUUAUGGUGACACGUGGGAUCACCGGCGAUCCAGCAGAGAUCUAAGAAGCUGAAACACUGACAUGCAAACAGUAUGUGAGCUUAAUUCGAUAAGAGAGGUUAAAGGGGAAACGGUCAACUACCUCAUAAAUAUUCCUGACAGUCUAAUGCAAAAGUGAAAUCUUGUGGCGCGUUAAGCAGGUGAGUCAAAGAGGUGAUUUACAGGCAGGUAAAAGUUAAUGACAGAUUAGGAAAAAUUAUCCUCAGAAGGAGACGUUUUAUUUUUAUGGAAGAUUUACCCGUUGUAAAAGGAUUUCACAUCUUUUCGAUGGCAGCUAAGGUUGUCUCUGCACAGAUUUUAACAACACUGCUCGGAGUGUUUCUAAGCUUUUACUGCGAUGUCGUGAAACCCAGAGAUGAAAUAAAAACUCUGGAGGAUCUCAAUAAAAGACGGGGACAAACAGCAGAGGACGAUGGCGCAGCCUGCAGAGACGGAGUACAGUUAAGGAGGCUGUGAAUGUUCAGGCUCAUGUUCGCUUCAGUUCGAUAUGUGUAAAUGCUGCUCGGGUGAUUGUAUGCCGUUACCGUGCUUUUGUGAGUGUGAUGCUUUAUUUUAUUGCAGAGAUUGCAAACAAAUCGAGCACCAGUUUCUGAGUAAGUUCUCUGCCUUUCAGGAAGAGACUCAGACUCCUGCUCUUAAAUCUGCUCAGAGUCGCUGACUUUGUGUGUAACUGUAAGCUUUAAUCUGCAGCUGUACAUUUAUACGUCUUUUCUGUUAGGGUCAGCACUGAUUCACUCCGAAGUGUGGUCUAAUAUUAAUAUUUAUCAUGCAGCUCUGUUUAAUCUGGCUGCAGGUGAAGCUUCUGAUCACCACUCCUCAGUCUGAGCCGCGCUGAGCUUUGUGGGUGUUUGCUGACAGUGAAAAUGUCAGAACUUAGAUGUCAAAUAUCCACCCUACAAUUCUCUGUCUUCAAAUAAUAACUCUGAUCUGUGUGAGCCGGCUGACUGGAAUGCUAGACGGCUCUUAGGAUCAGAAACUGUCACUAUUUCGACAGUUUAUUGCUCCCUCUAUGGCCUCACCUUGGCCUCAAGUGGGCCGCAGUUUUAUUUUCUAAAACCUCCACGAUGAAAAAAUUAUCAAAAUUAUUACCAACCACAGAUUUUCAGCUCUUCUUUAUUAAUUUUACUGUUUUUUUUUUUCCAUUUUAAAACAUUUUUUCGUCUUUUAACACGUGAGCACCAGAAAUCAGAUUUUCUCACGUUAUCAUUCGGAGGCUCAACAAGCAGAGAGUGGACUGUGAUAAAGAUACAACAUAAGAGUAAAAUAUACUCUGUUAUGACUUCUUUUGUAUGUGCUCACCUAUAUUAAAUUACUAUAAUACAACUCUCAUGUGAAAACUCAGAUAACUGCGUCUUGUUUAGGUCUCCUCCUGUUAUUCACAGCAUGUGGAGUCAUUGCUCAUGUAUUAUAUUAUAGUGUGCACAAAAAUUCAGAGCAGAUCAUGUCAGAAAAGGAGCAUAAAAACAGAGAGAGAGAGGUCAGAGUCAUGUCCGCUUGUCUCUUUAUUGUCAUAAAACACUUUGGCCCUGGUUAAUUUUAAAAACGGAGACAUCAACCAUCUUUUGCACCCUCCGUUUGGACGCAAACACAGAAUUCGCUCCUGAAAACGAUGCUUUUUAAAAAGAUUUUGGAAAACUCCAUUUGCAUGUUUGGGUAGCUGAUGGCAGAUUGUGCGCAAGAAAGAAAGAAAGAAGUGACGUUGUUGUUGUCGCUAUACGGGAUUCUGAUUGGCUAAUGUGGGCUUGAGCUUCUUGCUAUACUGCCACCUACAGGUUUGGCAUGCUCUUGACAGCAUAUAAACACGGGUUGGUGUAAACAAAAACUUUUCUGAAAACACAGUUUUUUUUUUGUAAACGUAGUCUUAGACUCAUUAAGCACAUCAUCAAAAAGCUCAAUGCUGAUAAAAACAGACACUUUUAGCAUCUGUCCUAGUUUUUGCUCAGAUUUUUGUUCACUUAGAUAAUAAAAAAAAACAUAAAAACAGUUAAGAUUAAAUAAAUAAUAGAUUACAGUAGGUUAAAGAUAUGAUUUUUGUCCAUGAGAGGGGUGUGUUUGAGUCCUCAUAUCAGCUGCGGUGGCAUUUUAACACUUACAUCAUGAUUCAGAGGAGAUUUAAAUAUGAUGUUUAGCAUUAUUGCUGAUUUUAAAUAGAGGAGAUUGAAAUGGAAAUCCUUGAAAGGAAAUCUAAAGUGUUCAGCUGUUGUUAAACUGAACAGCAGGCUCUCCUUUGACUCUGAGGUCAGCGCUCUGGAUUAUUCGCCGUCCUCGGUCCAGUGAAUUUUUAGAGAGCGUGUUUUAAAUGAAGUGCACACUCUCACAGUCACGUUCCUCCAAAAAAAAACCCAGCUCCUAGAUUACUGCGCACAUACUAAUGACUGAAAUUUGUCUGGUUCUUCAGCUGCUUCCAUGAACCCCUUGUUAAAUCUCCUCCGCUGCCUGAGAGAUGAGUGUUUACUCGGUAUUCUUGCUGCACAGCCCCAUUUGAACAACAAGGUCAAUGCUCAUUUGCAUUUCGCCGCACACAGUGUAGUCCAUUAAUAUUGUUAUUAAGUUGCCUACAUCAGAUCUCGAGGUGGAGGUGUUCUCCGUGUCCUAUUUUACUCAAUACCUCUGAUAUAUUUCUAAUUUCAGGAGAAGAGCUUAUCUUCGGUCGCUUUUUUCCGCUAACAUAAUCACUUUUGUUUAAUUACUUACAUUUUAAUGGAGCUUCAACCUUUUUAAAAAAUCAUCAUACUGUAAGUACAAAAGAAAGAGAUCCAUCUUUGAAUGUUUUAGUCCUCUCUGGAGCUUCUUCACCUGUGUUAUACUUUAGCAACAAGGCCACAGACACAUCCGGAAUAAAUAUUUUACUCCUAUAAAUAAUUCUAUUUGUUUCUUCAGCCUGUGAGGAGCUGCUGCUGCUGCUGCUGCUCGCUACUUUACAGGCUCCGUCUGUAGGCCUUUGUCACACGCCCUGAAUAGUAUGUGUGCGCUCCCUCCGACUGCACUUCCAGUUUAGAGUGCAAAGUCAACACGGAGAAAACAGCCGGCUUAUGGUGCAGGAAAUGUUGGAAUUUUAUAUUACCCUGAGGGUUUUCCUCCUUGUUUAUUUGGCUUCAGUUUCUAUAAUGUGCCCAUUAAAGUAGUUCAUCACACUGAAUACUAAUUUAAAUGCAGAGGAAGUUGGCCCCCGUAAUGGUAAAUCAACACGAAAAUCAUAUUUUCUUUGCCGUUACUGAAUUAAUUAGAAAGGUAAUGUAUUAGUGGAGGAAGCAGGACGGGGUUUACCAUCAGGACCGUGUUUGACAUUCUGUUCGCCGCUUCGCCUUUUUGUUUCCAGCCUCAUUGUGUUCGAGCUUUUCAUGUGGGCGCUGUGGGCAGUGUUUUGGGCGUGCCUCAGGGACCCGCUCCGGUCCCCAUUUCCCUCUGUGGUUGACGGUACUAAUGAGGCAGUUUGUUCUGACUCCGGCGAAUAAUAGCAUUAAUCUUUACGGAGUUAAAUGCUGUACUUCCUUUUCUCAGAGGAGUCGUUGGAGGAACGAACCAGACUCCUGGAUUCAGAUGGAAAACUGUAAAGUGAGGUCAUCUGUUGAUACGAGUCGACAGAAGGAAACGGGUUAUGACAUUUAUCUGGCUGCAGGCGGGUUUCUCCGAGAUCUCGAGGCCCUGAUGGCAAAGGCACCAUGACACCUCAUUUAUAAUCUAUAUUUAUAAUCUACUGCGACAACCAUCAUCGGCUCUUAAAUAGCUUAAAACCUCAUGUAUCAUUACGUCAAAUCAGCUCUCAGUGCGGUUAGUUUUCUCUCAUAUCGGCUGGAAAAUCAUCCGUCAAAAAUCCGUCAUAUUUUGAAAAUCAAUCCUGAGGUUUUUCAGCCGUCACAGGUCGUAUUUCUGAGACGUCUGACGGCGUGAACAUCAUCAGGCGCUUCUUCUCUGAUCAGAAAUCUUCAGGAGGGAUAUCCAGAAGUAGGACGAACAUUUCAGAAAACAAAAACGUCUUUUUGUGAAAAGAUUAUUCGCAGAAUUCAGCUUCUACAUUCUUAAUGCUACACCGUCUGUGUGUUUAGAGGCUUGUCAAUUCUAUUAUUUAGCGCCAGACUUCAGCAAAGCCCCUCCUGGAUGUGAGUUUUGAUGUACGGGACGCUGUUGUUGUAAACACCAUACAAAGUCAUCGGUACAAACAUGCUGCCGUCGCUCCUGUUCUGUCCUCAGAGAUGCAUUAUGGGUAGAAAAGUAAUAAAACAGCACAGCCCUCCUGAUUUCAACUUCAACUCAAGUUUGUGAAGCAGCUUUGUGACGCUUUCUGAGGCGAAUAAUAAAACCUAUCGCAGAGCGGUAUCCUGAUGAUAUCUCCUCGAAUCAGAAACUCUCUGAAGACGGAAGAAAGCGCCUGACUGACGUCCCUCUCGGCAUCACUUAAAAGAGGGAUCACUCAUUUACAGAUCGCUCCGUUUACAGCAGCAACCUCCGAACAGCCGGUUAAGCUUUAAAGCUGCAACGUUCGACAGUCAGACGUCAGAUGUUUUUGACCUUUUUUCUUUGUUUUGUGCUAAAUUCAAGUUCAGAGAGGAGUCAGCAUCUCGGCAAAUAACAGUCGGGGUGGGAGAAAGCGGAACAACCUGCCAGCGUUAAGCCGCUCCACAAAUAACUCCCAUUGUCUCACUAAUUACAAUGGCUGUGCCACAACCUUCAGAACAAAACAUAUAUAUUUAACCGAGCUGAUGCCUUCGUUUUGGCAGACGGGGGAUAAGCUGAGCUGAAAUAGAUGUCCUGCUUAGAAAUACCUCGUGUCAACAGCGGUGGAUCAGUCUAAUACAGUCGAGUGGGUGUUUGAGGUUCAAAUUCACUAAUCCCAAAAACUCAAGAAGCUAAAUUUGUAGAGUAUGAAAAUAUCGCAGCUUUAAAGUGUUUAUUCUGUGAAAUACUAACAGGCUACUCCCCGGUCUUGACAAAUGAAGCAAAGUGCUAAAAACUGCAGUUCCCUGAGUGUCCACCUGAGGGAGAAAUCAUAAAAAGUUGUGUUUUAAAGUUUAUUUAGAGCUCGGAUGGCAGCCAAAAAAGCUGUUAGUGACUUUUUUAAAGAAAAGCUGAAAAAAAAAAAGAUUAUUUAAAGAAACAAACUUUAAGACAAUCUGGAAGUGGUUUGCAGCAUUAAACCACGUUUGAGUUUUGUUUGUAUAACUCAUUUUCAUGUCACUAAAGAACUGUAAGCAGGUUAAAUCACUUCUUCUGUACUUUAAACAGCGUAAAAGAAAAGUUCAGUGAGUUCCUGAUGAAAGAAAAAAGAGCCUUUGGAUAGAGUACAAGAACAGAGACCCGACCACGACUUCUGCUCCCUGAUUUUUGUGCACCGCUACACUCAAAAGCUUCCCUUCAGGUGACAUUUGUUAUUUUACAAUCUGUGUGAAUUACAGGGUUAUUUCUCUUUCUCAGUAUUUCUAAGAUAAUUCAGAUUUCACCCUGACAACCCGGACUUCUUGUCUCUGUUUGGGUGAAACUUUUAUUCCCUACGAUGCUAAAGCCCAGCGGUCACAGCUGUUAACUUCAAGUUCAUAGAUUAUUGAGCCGUUUUGGGGGUACUUGAACAAUUUGUUGUACUAUAAUUUCCAUAAAAAUGUCCUCUGACGAGUUGAAACACAUGAAAAUAUAAAAACAUCCAAAAGUAUCUGAGCAGCACAGAUUCGUGUGUGUUUGAAAAUCCUCAAACUGAACUCGCAUGAAGUCUCAGGUGUGGUUGCGUAACAACCGCAGCAGAAGUGGAGCUCGGUUCAUUGACAGCUGAGGGUCACAAAUAAUGGUGCGAGCGCUGACAAGCAUCAUGGGAAAUGAGCGAUAAACCUGGAGAGGAAAUUAAAAAUUAAGUACACGCUGUGCCAGAACUCCAGCAUGCUGUUGUUCACGGCUGAUAUUAAAGAUGAUUUUAUUACGACUGAAGGGAUUUUAAAGGUUAUUUUAAUCACAUAUCUCUCUCCUCAUAUCCACCUUUUUGUCAGAGGAGCGUUUUCUUAUCUUAAAUCGACCGUCUGUCUGUUAAAGUGGAAUAGUGAGAUAUUCGGGGAGCUGUCCUUGGUGCUGAAGUUCCACACUGAUAGCUGCCACCGCUGUGAUCGUUCUAACAGUCAAAUAUUGGUUAUUAUAGUUCAGGUUUUUAAGAACAGCUGCCUCCAGAAAACCGUGAAGGAGAGAAAUGGAAAUGUAGGAAAUAAUAAAACACUUUCUGUUUUUCUGUCAAACAUGUGCUGACAUUUACAGAACAAAGAUCUCUGAGUGGAGCGGCUGUAUCCAUGAUGGUCAGUUUAUUGACCAACGUAGCAGCACUCGGGAUGGACAGAAUCGCCUUUUCUUGAGUAAUUUUCUCGUGUUGACCUGAGAGGAGCGGCUCAAACUCUGAGCUGUGUUUUACUAUCGAUGAUUGACAAGGCUCUCCUUCUCUGAAAAGGUCACCCAAUUGCUUUAAAGGAUACUUAGUGUCUCCUCUGCUGCUUUUUCUGCACUCGAGUCGAGAGGUUCUUCUGGAGGAGGCAGGGAUCCACUUUUUGAAGGGUCAGGACUGAUCCCAGACCCCCGGUUUUCUUGAUAAAACAAUCUCUGUCAAGACUUGUAGUUUGACAGAUGUCACAGUUUUGUUUGAGCAGGGUCAGUAAUGAGAGAGUGUAUGCAUUGGUUCAUCAGAGGUUUGGCAUGUUAAAGGCAAGAGUCCUACACAGUUGUAAUUUCCAUACUUUUCCAUACUCUACUUUUCAGAAAAAUUUUUGGAAAUCCCGACUUUCCUAUUUUAAGAAAACUGUAUUUUAGAACUGUGGUAAUAGUCUGGAAACAUGGAUAAUUUUACAUACUUUAUUUCUCAUUUACCAUACUUUUUAAGACCUGGAAGUUGAUCAAACUACUUCCAUACUUUUCCAUACUUGCAUUGGAACCCUGAAGGUGUAUUAUGUGGAAUUUAGCUGCAUUCAGUAUUAUGUAGAAGAACAUUUGUAUGGAGUCAAAAUGAGGCCAUGAAGCAUUGCAUAUGCAAGAGAGGUAUUAUUAGGGAUGGGAAUCAAGAACCGGUUCCAAAUGGUUCAAUCCAUCGACAUCGUUUACUUUUCAUUUGAAUGAUUCCCUGAACGAUUCCUUUGUCCCGGGUGCUUUGGAAAACGGUCUUGUGAGAGGCAGUCUACUUAAACAAGAACAAAGACAACGAGUCUUGUAUGGGAGUUUUGAGUUUGUGUAGCGUGGACUAACUGAGUCAGAAGCGCGUAAAAAACACUCGACCCGACCACAAAAACCCUCAAAAUUUUGUGCACAACUCGCCCGUCAAACCCCGCCCCCAUAUCAAAGAGAGGCCAGAAUGUUUUGUAAAUGGGGAAAAAAAAGUUCUGUCAAUGAAAAAAAUACUUUUUUUUUUUAAUUCAGUGAUCAAUAUAUCUAUUCUUUUACAACUCUUCACUAAAGUUCACAAUUAUUAUUUUUUGUUAACAAUACCUCACUUAAGUUUAAAAUACUUCCUGGCCUCAUUUUGACUCCAUACUUUUUUAUUAAUCUGUACUGAAUAAAUAUUCUCAUAUUUAAAUUUCAGUUAUUUAGGUAAAGUCUUUUAAUCAUAGAAGCAGGUCCUCACUCUUGUAAAGCUAAAGUUAUUUCUCUACAGACGCAGGUGAUUUUAUAGGAUGACGCCAUCUUUAGUCAGUCGUUUUCGUUGUUUCAGUGAGGCGAGAGGUUGGCGAAGGUUGGCGAGUUCAUUCUCAAAUCUUACCGCCAGAUCUUGAUAAGUAUUUUCAUUCUACCUCAAACGAGCUUUCCUGUCACACUAUUUGGUCAUCUACUCUUCUAAAUCAUGACUAUAUUAUAUUUCUAUCACUUGUUAUAAUCAUAGUCAUAUUUAAUGAGCAGAAUAGUGAAGCUGCUGCUAUAAGUGGUGAAAUAAAUGCUCUAAUUAUCGAUAAAGACAGGUUUGAUUUAUUGAUUGACAUAUUAGUAAGUCAAACAUAUUUUCCUGGAUAAUUCAUUGAAUAAAAUAAUCAAUUUCGUCAAAUUAGGAGACAAGCUGCCAAAAUUCUGUCACAGUCUUAACAAACACUCCUGAGCAAAUAUCAAAAUAGAGCCGUCACUUAAAACGUCCUUUUUUCUGAGUGUUUGAUAUCUCUUAAUUAUUUCACUGACACCUCAAGAACCAGAUAUGAGGCCUGCAGACAGAACAUCAUUAGUUUUUUUUUUUUUUUAAUUCUAAAUGACCUCAAAUAUUUGCUUCGAGGCAAUAUUUAACAAUGUCAGAGCUGGUUAUCUUCAUUUUUCCUCACAUGUAACUGUAAUGAGGCCCAUCAGACUCAGAGCGAAAAGGAAAAAAAAAGAAAAUCGGAGAACACAAAGAGAAAAAAAACCUUUCUUUAAUGAGACAGAGUGGUAGCUUAGAAACAUCGACCUGUGCCCAAGACCACAAGGCUGCUAUGACAGGAGAAAUACUUUGACUAUUAAUAGCAGAGACUGAAAUGGACCCUUAUACUUCUCUUAUAUAACACAAGCUGUUCUCUCCAACACUGGUGAAAAAAAUAAACACUCCUGAAGACGGAGAACGAACACCACAUUUUGUUCUUGUAUCUCAUAUUCUCAUUUAAGACAUGAUUGACAAUAGGGCUGCACAAUUAAUUGAUUUUAAAUCAUAAUCAGAUUUUUUUUUAUUAUGAAAAAUUGAAAAAUUAAAAUUGUCAAAUCAGUUUUCCUCUCUAUUAGGCAUGUGCCGAUAUGAAAAAAUUGAUAUCAUAUAUUGGUGGCCAAAAAUAUCACGAUUCACGAUAUUAUCACGAUAUUAUCACGAUAUUAGCGCAUUGCUUUUGACGUUAUUAAAAAUGGCAAAAAAACUGUGAAAUCACUUCUCUGUGCGCUGCAUGACACGCACAAAAUAUAUGAGCAAGAGGCAGCUAACGCGACGUUGGGAGCAUUAGCUUUGUGGAGCUAAAGUUAGCAGAAACGUUGCUAACGUUGUCAAUUAUAAGCAGUAGAGUAGGCCAAACUUGCUGCGGUCGUGUUGUUUUUACCUUGAUUUUCGUCCUCACAGUUUCAGAUGAAGAGUAAACCACUCCCCGCUGCAAAGUCUGUCUGAAGGCGGUAUCAACCCGUCGCCACAGAAACAAAUUCAGGAGUAUACGCUAAAGUUUUUUGUUGUAUCUGCGUUUCAGGUGACUGUAAACGGUACUUUUUGAAAACGGGUCAGAGAGUGAAUAAAUCUGUAAACAACGACCAUUUCAUCUCUGGAAACGAUCAUGUGACACACAGAGUAACUCUUUUAUGGCGCCAAAACAACCUUUAUACACAUGCUCUGUACUCUUCUUCUUCAUUUUGUGCACUUCCUGUGCAGCAUUACAGCGCCGAUUACUGGCCUGGCAUAUGAACUACAUUGUUUUCAGUGGUUUGGUUUUGAGAGACGAUAGAAAAACUUAUUUUUAAAGUGAAGUUUGGUAAAGUUGUCACUGAAUAAAACUACUGAGGUUAACAAACUAGCACAUUAUAACUGCGUGCUGAUGAGUACUAACUGUCCAACAGUUGUUUUUCUUUUUUUUUGAAUGAAUAGUAGUUUACAACAUACUAAAUAUAAUGUGAAAAUUAGUUUAACUGAGUGUUACUAUCUUGCAUAGACUGUCCAUUUGUUGUAUCUUUGUCACAGACUUAUUUUUAACAGUUGAAAAUGGUUUUAGUGUGCUUGGCUGAAUGCAGUUAUUAGCAGGUUCAUUAUAUUGUCAUUCUCACUUAUCUUUUGCUUCCUCUGAGUACUUAUCACACAGGACAACUUCCCGGAUGUAUCGUCACCCUUAAACUGGGUAAUUUCAGAUGAAUAUUUCUGGGUUUUCGUCUGUGAAAAUCUCCCACAAACAUAAAUAUAAAACUCCCCCGCUGUUUGCAUCCUUAAAAAAACACUCCUGGGCGUCAUCCUCCAAUCACAGCGCCUGAAAAACAACAAACCAACAAAAUUAAGGAGCAGACCAAAUUACAGGCAGAGCGCUCUUUUAAGAGCUGUUAUGUUGGUGGAUUGCAGUCUAUGACGAGGACCGGCGCUCUCAUCUUACCCCGCGGAUCAUUUGUUGUCUCUUCAUAACUCUUACAGUCGCUGUUGUUCACACCCACCUCCACUCCCACUCCCUUCUUUCGCCCCUCUCACCGGCUCCUCGUUUCCAGCUGUUUGCCACUCCUCACAUGUUUGCAGGAACACAAACCCAGUUCCUGGUGACUAAUCUGAAUAUUCCCCCCUCUCUGAACACUUCUCACUCUGUUCUGUCCAGAGAUAGAAACAGUGCAGGCAGAGGGCACAGCUGCAAACGUUUAACCCUGCUCGCUGGUUUGAUUGUGGUGCUUCAAGUUUUAUUUGCUGCAUUUAGAAAUAAAGAGAAUAUGCAGAACAGGCUCCCUCUCUGCAUGCUUGAAUUUGCAUAGCUUUACAUUUCGCCUGUGGGUGAAGAUAUCCGUUCUUUAUUAACGGAAACUUUGAAUGAAGCAGGAAUUUAUUGUUGUACUUGUGCAGCCAAAUUAAAAUGAUGGUUUCUUUAAAACCUGAGUUCACGGUGACUUCUCGUUGAACUCGGGACAGAAAUAGAAGAAACUGUUAAAUUUAUUUCUGCUGAAGGAGUUUUUUUCGCGCUCUCUGCUCCCCCCCGCUCCGCCGCGUUGGCCCCGGCUGGCAUCUUUAAGGUGCUGAACUGCUGUUCCUCCUGGCCGCCGGUGCCAGGAUAACAUAUGCACGGCCCCAGAAAUCCAAUUGUUGGGAAUCAUGUCAGCUGAGUUGCAGGCCACAGCUUUUGCUCAUGAUUUAUUACCGAAGCGCUGCCACAUUUGCCAAUAGGAAAACACUUUCAGUAGAGUCAUGGGGAUUUACUCUGAUGGAUGAGAAUAAAAAUUGAAUAAUAUUUCUCCUGCGCUCGCCUCUUACUCUCCGCAGCCGUCUGUUAUUUGUGACCAGGAAAAGGAAACCAGCUGUAUUUGACUGAGUUUGUUUGUGUUGAUAUUUGGAGGUUAUUUAUUUGCAUUGUUAUAUCCCAGCGUCCUUUCUGUUUGGAUUUUCUAGGUUUGUCACUUCUUCGUUGGUGUCUGCCCUCGUUUCAGAUCUGGAGCUGCAGGCGUCUCUCUGGUCCAGAUUGUCGAGUCUCCCUCUGUUGUCUAAAGUUUUAUUACGUUCCCAAAACUCAGCUUGUUGUAUCCGUCAGACUCCGUAUCAUCCGUCCGUCUGUGCGGCUGUAUGCAUGACUGAGUGAUGUGGGGUCAUUUGUCGAGCGGUAUCUCUCCUCGCUGUAGAUUAAUAUCAACAGGAGUUACAAGGCAGAAUUCAUCCAGACAAGAGGUGAGGAGUCGGAUUCAGCACCGCUGUCGCUCCUGUUGUCUGUGUUUGUCCGUUUUAUAAUUCUGCAGAAUCAUUCGGAUCAGAACCGUGUCAGCUUCUUGUACGUAGGGCGCCAGAUUUCCAACAGUCUCCUGAAAUGAUAGCUAUCACAGUAUGAUGUAGGGCCGUUCCAACAAGGGGACCUUACUAUUGGAUUCUAUUCGAUUGUGGGAGCUUCGAUUCUUUGAUUAUAAGGUGUCGAUUUUAUUUUAUUGUUGGUGCCACGAUUCUUUGAUUAUUGCCAUUUUUAAAGCUUUUUUCCAGACAAGAUUGAUUUUGACUUUUUAUUUUUUAUUUUUCAAAGACACAAAAUAUUUUAUUUUAUGACUGUAUGACUGUUAUGUAAACAUUUGCACUUUGACCUACGUUGAAGUUUGGAGACAGUCUCCAGGAUGGUCCUCUGUGUGGCAGAACGACCGGAGGAGCCUUCUCUGUUUCAGGAUGAAAGCGUACGAGGCGCUUCCUCAUGUUUGUGGUGUCGCUGAGGUUCUUUAUUUUUGAAAAUCUCGUAGGUCUCAUCAGUCAUCUUGUUUGCUCUCUCAUAAAAUCCAAAGUACUUCCACACGGUUGCAGUCAAACCUGGUGGUGACAGAAUCGGACGCUCUUCGGAGGCUGCUGAAGCUGCUGCCAUUUUAUGAAGAAGCUAACGCGCUCUGUUUGUUGUGGUCCCACUCACUAAACAGUCCUGGCAGCGCACACGUUAAGGUUCCAGUUAUGUGUUUUUUAGUUCCGGUAAAGCAUCGACGUUACUUAAUCGAUGCCGAAUCAUCAAGUGAAGCAUCGCGAUGCAUCGACACAUCAAUGAAUCGCACCGACCUCUGGUAUGAUGUUUCAUGAUACACAACUGUGAGGAACUGUAGUAAGUAAGAGCAAAGGCAGGAUCCCUCUACUUAAAACAGGCGCAGUCAGAAGAGUUUUGUCGAAGUAUUGACACAGUACACAUUCCUGUGAGUAUUCGGUUAUUUCCGACCUUUUUAAUCGUCCCCUUAUUCUGUGUUCAUUCUGGAACUGACCUUAUAUGUUUGGAAAAUGUUCAGUUCAUUUCACUCCUACUUCCAUCCGUUGGCUGUGUUUUGCUCUGUGCUCAUCUAUUACAGCUGUACUGAUUCUAUAACAUGUGCAUCAACGCUGUCACGUUGACAAGGUUGAAAAACAGAAAAAGGACCCGAUUUCAGAAUAAAAGGCGAUUUAAUGAAAAAAUAACAAAAUAAAAAGCAACAAAAACUUACUUAUAAUGAGGAACAGAAACACCAGUAAAAAAAAAACACAAAGAAAAGACACUCAGAAUACCAAAACCAGGUGAACACCAAACACCAGAACAAAGGUCAUGACACAGUGAAUAUUGAUGAUAUCUUGUCGUAUCUGUUUUUGAGCGCAGCCCUACAGUAUGAGACUGACUUCGACUUUAUCUGUGUUCCCUGGGUUUUAUAUUUUGGGGUUCUCUGACUGUUUGUUGGACCAAACAGGAGAAAGCGAGGCCUGUUACUGUGUUUUCUUUUUGCAUUUUAAAGAUGAAGCGAAUAAUCAAUAACAGCUGUGGAAGCAGUUUUAAUUCAGAAACAGCAUUUUGUUGUAAUAGUGAAAAUACGGGUUACAUCCUGAUAGAAAUCAAUGAUUUAUUCUGGCAGCCUGCUUCUUUCCUCCUCUCCAUGUGUUUCCUUUUGUGGAGACGAAAUUAAGUGUUUUGUAAACAGCAGCUUGUUCGGAAUAAACAAACACAGCAUGGCGGCGCUGAUAAACAUCACGAUCGGGAAAAACAAAAAUCACAUCUACAUCUCCGACCGUGAAAAAACGGCUCGAUCCGACCUCAGAGCUGGAUGUCAGGUCAGACUCAGAGUUAAAGAGUAAACCCUCUCCUGCAGGUGGAAGGGUUUUACUGGACCAGGAUUUGGAUCCACCAAACGGACUGUGUGACAGAGAUUUGGACUCUAACCUGAGGAGGACUGAACUGAACUCUAAAGUUUGUAAACUCUUUCGCUAACUUUGUCCAUCUUUGUCAGUUCGUGGACAAAAGAAGAGCGGUUUUGUCUCCCCUCAUCAGGACGGCUCAUAAUGACGAGCAGCUUCGUCGCCCGUGAACGCCGCACGUCUCUCAGAAAUUCAUUUUGUUAUCCCCAAAUUGAGUCUUUGUUGUGAGGGUAAAGACGUCCUUAUCUUUAUUAGGACAGUUCUUCGUUGGGAGAGUGAUUUGAUUUGAUUUGACAGAGAAGUACAAACUCUGUAGAAAGAAGGAAAUGAAUGUCUGAGGCUUCAAUCACCUGCUCCCGUUUUUUUUUCUUUACAGGACAAAUAAAAAAACCCAAACUGUUUCCUCGGGUUCAUGAUUAGCUAACAAAGUUUCAGUUGUUGAUGUUGGUGCAAAUUGCUCGGUCUAUCACAAGUUAUUAAAUCCUCAGACUGUCUUGAAAGUCGUCGCUGUCUAACUCUCUCCCCUGUGCUGAGGAGCGGCGGCAGGCCUCCUAUGGAAAUGUGACAUUUGCUUUGUUUCCAGCCAUCUAAUGAGCCAGUUAACAUUCAGUUGUUCACCCUAAUUGACUCUUACGCUAACCGGAUGGAGGCACAGGACUCCAAAUAAUUACUCUCUUUAUGAGCCCACGUCUAAUGAAUUUAAGUGGCAUAUUUACCAGCCGGCUGCCUCUGGCUGGAGGUGACGCAAUAAAAAGAUGUCGACUCUCAACUUAGUCAAACAGACGUAUGUCCUGAGGGCUUCAAGCUGAUUUAUCCUGGACUUGUUUAAGAAGACUCUGCUUUGUUUUUACCAUUAAUAAUAGUGUAAAAAACGCUUUUUUUGGACUUUAAUCACUCUGGUUCAGUUUUAACAAUAGAAAUAAACAGUAGAGAAGUGGUUAGGUGCCAGAUGUGUUCGGGCUGCUAGAUCGGCUCGGGGUCCAGUCAGGGGUGUCCCGAUAGAACUUUUUUUUAACUUCUGAUAUGAUACUGAUAUUGUAGCCUUUAGUCUUGGCCGAUUCCGAUAGUGGCGCAAACUUACGCAUCACAAGUUUUGCACUCAGCUGCAACAUCUUUUUCAGACUUUAACGAAAAAUACUGCCACACAGCCGACACCACUCCUACUCCUCUGUACUUUGUUACAAUUUAGUACCUAAGUACAUUUUAAAUGCAGGCUGAUAUAAUCUGAUAUUUGUUUAUUGGCUGAUAUCCGGCCAGUAUCUAAUAUCGAUAUUGUAUCUGGGCAGCCCUAGGCUCAGUGCCCGUUGAAGACGUCACACUAUGGCAAGUCCACUCGGACAAACUUUAUUGCGCUCCAUUUAAUAAGUAAAAUGUGCUCGGUUAAAAGCCCUUCGUGGUUUUCUUUAUUUAAAUGAAAAUACUAUAUAAUACAGAUAUUAUAACUAUAAAGUAAAGUGUAUAUAUAAAAUGUAUAAUACAGAUAAUACUUACUGUACUGCACUGUAAUUUUAGAUGGCUUUAAUUGUAGAUGUUAACUUUUUUAAAGAAAAAUGGAAAAAAAUCUACGCAGGAUCUCCACUAUAUAUCAAUAUAGUUUUGCUUUUAUUCCACAUUUCCUUCGGUGACCUAAAAGAGGCGGUAGUCCGGCUGUCGUAAGUGAUGGCUGGAUGGAUGGCUGUUGGCUGAUAUCGGAUAUCGGCCAAAAAGAAAUAUCGGAUUAUAUCAGCCUGCAUCUAAAAUCUCUGAUAUCGGCACUCUGAUACAAGCAGUCCAUCCAGACUCCACUCCGGCACCUCUAGCUAGCAGUAUCCGGAUCCAGCAUGUCGAGCCCACGUGAUCACAACAACAGUGUGUACUAAGGUACCAAAAAAGCAGCAAGGAGUAGGAGGCUACAAUAUCGAUAUCAUAUCGAAAGUAAAAAAGUUGCAUCGGGACACCCCUAAUAAGUAGCGAUAGAUUGCUUCAUAAGAUUCAUCCAUAUUUUUUCCGAAGAACUACAAUCGCAUGAAACCUAAUCUGGCGAAAACCGCUUCUGUAAUGUCUGGACCAAUCACAAUCUUCUACAUCAUUCAAACCAACUUCCAGCCAAUCAUAUAGCUUGACAUCAUCAAUAGGCGCCGGGCCCUGAGGCGAUCUGGCAGCCUGAACACAUCUGGUACCUACACUGGUAAUAUAAUCUCAUCUGGCGAGGACAGCUGAUAGAGUUUUUAUGAGCUUCCAUGGUGAAAAUCAAGCUCUCCACUCAGAGUCGGUAAAACCUUCAAAGGUCAAUCAUAGAAACGCUUUCAAGGCUGAAAUUUUCAGGGGUGAAAAAUAUAAAGAUUAGAAAUCUCAACGACUCCUGAUUGUUUUGAAAGAACGGAGGACAAACGGAUCCUUUUCGGCCUUGAUUGAAACGAGUAUUUUCAGUGAAGACUGUUGUGAGGGCUCUUCAUCGUGGUCAACUUCAUGGUCAUCGUCCGUCUCACAGCUGCACACCAAAGUCCGCCUUAAGUAUGCCUGAGAAAAUCUGAGACAGGGGGACGAGAGCACACAAUAAAAAUAUAUAAACUGGGUGGAGAAUGAAGGUGUUUUUCUCUCAUGAAUAAAUUCAUCAAACUUAAUACCAAACGGAAAUUAAAUUUCAUACAUUUUUCAAAGUCGACACAGAUUUCCUGAUAAUUCAAGUACUUGGUAAAUACAACAGCAAAGUCUGGCUGCUGCUAAUUGUCACACAAUUUGAUUGAAUUUCUUUUCUGAGACAAGAUGUUGAUGUUCACACUGAGAAUAGAUGUAAUCAUAUAGAUCCCUCUCACCGUUUCUCUGCAGGCUGAAAGUUAAGGUGUUUCUCUCCUCUUCUGUUUCUAAUCACAGUUCUGUCUGAGUAUUAACAUGGCUGUUAAAUAAAUAAUCUAUUUACAACAAACAUAAUUGAGCCUUAUCUAAUGGCACAGUUUGCAGUCAGGCUGAGAGGGGGUGGGGUUUGAUGCCUUUGAAUGGCAGUCGCCAUAUUGAGCACGCUGACUUUUGUUUGAUUUGGGAUAUGGAGUCAAGAGGGGCCGACAGCCUCUUCCUUACAGCUGCAGUGUGGUAGUCCAGUCAACUGCGUCCCUCUUUAUGCAAAAUUACCCCCCAUCCGUGGACCCUACAUGAAAGUCGAGGGUCUAAUACCAAUCCUGUAGAGCUGCACGAUUUUGGCCAAAAAUAAAAUCCAGAUUUUUUUCUCUUACAGCUUGAUUUUAGAUUUUUUAUUCAGUGACGACUUCACCAAACUUCACUUUAAUAAGUUUUUCUAUCAUCUCUUAAAAUGAAAACACUGAAAAUGAUGUAGUGCAUAUGCCAAGCCAGUAAGUGGCGCUGUAGUCAUCAUAAUCAAAUAAUCUGAUAACGAUUUAAACUCAGUUAAUUGUGCAGCCCUACAAUCCUGUGGAAAACAUCUGCUCCUGAAUGCUUCAAAUAUCCAUCAACUCGUCCCUGAAUUUAUGUGGCUGGAAAAUUGGUGCUGAGCAGGAGGUGUGUAGUUGGUUUUUAAGGCUUGUGUGGUUCUUGCCAAAGCUUCACGGAGUAAACCAAAAAGGUGAAGCUGUCAGCUUAAAGGCUAAACUAUUCGCUGACACACCUUGAAGCUCCGUGCAGCUGACAGGAGUCACACAUUCAGACGACAAGCUGAAGUGUUUCUUCCUGUGUCGCACUGUUUUUACAUUGUCUCCCCAUAAAUUGUCAUGAAUAGAUUAAGUCGAGCUGCUUUAACUCAAGUUGAACAAGAUUCUGUCAGAGUUUUCAAGUCUACAAUGGUUAGUCUUAAAACAGAACAAACAGAUCAUCUAUGGUUGGAUAGUUUACAUAUUUAAAAAGUUACCAUUGGAAGUUGUUAAACUAGGGGUGAGCGAUCUGACGUUCUUAGAUUGGGAAGAAUUAAAAAGAAAUUCUGAUCUGUCAAAGCACAGGACAGGGAGAUUUUUGAGAUGUUUAGUUGUGACCAAAAAUAAAAAAGAAAGGAAAAAGUUAUAAAAAUUUCUGCUUUAUAUCUGUUGUGUUGUGUACAUUACUUUUGAGUGAUUUUUAUUAUUAUUAUUCAUAAGAGUACCUUUCAUUUUUUUAAACAUUGACAUUUGUUUGUGAAGUCUUGUUUUAGGGUCAAAUUUAUUUGAUAAUGAGAUGAUCCAGUUAAGAUCAAUGUUCGGCUGUUGGAUGUUAAAAUCUGGAUAUUUUGUUUAUUAUUUCUAUUUUUCACUCCACCCCCCAAAAAAUAUCUGGAAAAAAUCAUGAUUGUGAUUUUGCAAAACAAAAAAUAAUUGAUAUGAAGUUUUUUGCAUAUCGCCCACCCUUACAUCAGAUCUUUAUAUCCGGCUGUAGUCCAGAGAGUACAUGUCAUUAAAUCAAUUGAGUGAACUGUCUGUUAACGUCGUUUCAGAGAUCAUUACUGUCGUUUACUCAGUAAUUGUCAAUAAUUGUCAGAACUGUUUUUCCUAACGUGUGAUUUAUGAAGCCUUAAACGCCUCUCUGGUGUUUUUUUGUUUCGGACUGAUGAUCCCCGACGAUGAUCUCAGCAGGUUCGUUUUUAGCUGCUUCAGCUAAAUUGAGCUCAAUGAAACAAUAAAAGAGAUGUGUUGGAGCCACACGGGGGACAGUAUUACCGGUUAUGACUCCGCUGAACUGAGCUGAUGUGAUUACGUGUGGGUAAAAUUGCCAUGUAAUGAACUGAAAACGCAGCUGUUAUUUAUCAUGGCUUUGUUGUCUCUUUGGAAACCUCUUUGAAUAUCUCACCAGAACGAGACGUCUGUAUUAGGACGGAUUAUGGGGACUGUCAGGGUACACAGGGACACAAACCCAUCACCCUUCAGACACACAGUGUUAACAUUUUGUCACUUGGGACAGCAAACGUCUGCUCUGCUGAAGUGUCCUUGAGCAAGACAGAGAUCACGUACCCGCUCAGGGAUGCUGAUUCGCUCCUACGGCUGUUAAAAAGAUGGAUUCAGCUCUGAGGGUCCAUAAAAUACCAGGAGAAGAUACGAGUGUAAAAAGAGAGGAGAAGUUUCAGAGCAUCAGCGAGUUUGUGUCUGUGCGGCAGAAGGGCACGUCGUUCAUAAAUGCAGGAAUAAAAAGUUUGCUCCAGUAACGUCCUUGUGUUUGUGCUUAAGAGGAAAAACUUCAUCUCUGCCCUCGCUGCGCAGCGACGGCAAAAAAGUACAAUCUAUGCAUCAUCUCUCUGAACGUGUCACCUUAAUUAAAAGCUUUGCUAAUUAUAUCAUUUCUCAGGAGUUAAAAAGUCACUCCUUCACUAAAAGCCCGUAUAAUGCCCCUGACGAAAUCAAAAUUCCCUCCUGCGAACAUAAUUAAAACACGACUCUCAGUAAAAACCUACCUGCCUCUGCUCAGGUGAGCCCACGCAGGUCAGAUUUCAGAAAUAUCAGGCGGCUGCAUCUCAGGAUAACCCUGAACACUUGGCAUCGCUGAGCUGGUGGAAUUUUGGAUGAGCUCCCUUAAGCAUAUCAGAGCUUGGCAUUAAGGCUCAGCGGACUAUUGGACGCCGUCGUGCAGCUUAUUUCCCGCCUGCAACAGCGCGGUGAGUGGGACAACAGACAGCAGAUUAUUAUCUGCUCCGAGGGCACAGCAUACUAAUGCCUCCGUCAGUCCUAUCAGGACAAGUUUCCUCCUCUUGGAUGCUUGGUGAUGACUCUCAGAGGUGAACACAGCUCGGCUCCGAUAAAUAAGAGAAGAUGUGAUGAUCGAGGAAUCGAGCAUCUUAGUGAUUCUGGAGAUUGAUAGUUAUCUCAUAAUUUAGCCAUAACAAUGCAGAUUUCUUUGUGAUAAUAAUGAAGGGUAAUCUAAUCUUGUGUCAUUACAGGACUAGAAGGUAGAUAGUCAAGACAGAGUGGGUCAAUGCUAAUUAUAUUAGGGAAAUGAUGCACAGUAAUGAUAAUUCUUGGAUGAAACUGAAAACCAAAAAUGAGGAAACCAAGGCCGAAAAACCGAAACACCGAAAACUGAAAGAAAUGAUUAUGCCAAUUAUCAGUACCAUUGCAUUUAUGUCUGAUUGUUUACUAACCUCCCUAAAAUCAAGGCAUUGCAAAAGCAUAAAUUAAUAUAAAAUUUAUAUUAAUAUUAGAUAUUAAUUCAUGAAAUUGCAACAUGAGUUUUGAGUGUUUGAUUCAGUGUGUUGCUGCAUGUUUCACCUUUAGAUGGCGUUGUGAGUCGGGGCAAAAACAACUCAAACGUUCAAAGAGAAGAAGAGUUGAGCGGUAGAAACACAACUAGAAGAAGUAGCGUUGUUUAAUUUUAAGAAGCCAAGAGCAGGAGCUUUCGUUGUAAUGUUUAUUUUUUAAUAUAAUUUAAUUAAUAACUACUCCACAAGCUGCUCACUACCUACACACAUCCAUUUAUUAUUUUGAAACCAAAUAUACCGACAUGAAGAAAAUGACAUCGGUUAUUGUCGUAAAUUUUUGGUUUAUCGCCCAGCCCUACUCAGAGUAGUGUCUGAUGAUAUUGUAGUACAGGCAUGUUAUACAUUUCCUGAAAGCUUAGAGUCUUUUGAGUAAUCUAGUGUCUGUGUAAUUUGUUCCUGAUGUCCCUGUAAAAGAGAAAUAAGAGAUUUAGGCAAAAAUUGUGGAAUAAUGUAUGUUGCCGCACUGCUUGAGGAGCCAAAGUUACGUCUGUUUUUGUUUGUAUGAUUUACAGUUGGGCUCAAAUGAAAGCCAAGAGGGUCUCCUUUAAAAUGAUACCAAACACAGUUUUAUAAAAACCCUGAACAUGAGCCAAAACUGGAGCACCUUGAGCCGUGUGAAUAUCUGGACCAGCUUUAAAAGGCUUAAAUACUAACAGGAUAAAUAAUCAAACUUUCUCCAGUCUAAUUCACCACAUGAAGACAUUUACAUCUGGCUUUUUGGGGGAAUUUAACAGUGCAGACGAGUCAGCGCCGUCUGGAGCAGCUGAGGUUGUAAAAGUGGUUUUCGGGGGCAUGAGGAGGGCUCGGAGCAUCCUGAAAUACCCGUGGGCAGGAUGUUUUUCCUGCCAAACAGACGGAUGGGUUCAGAGAGCAGGAUUUCAAAAGAACAGAGGUCAGCACCCUGUGAAGAAAUCAUGGAGUCUUUGCUAUUUAUCUCCAACUCUUAUCAACUCCCCGCAGAUAUAUGAAGGCCGUUUGGUGAUACAGAGCGCAGAAAAUCUCACUUAUUGUCCCUGUAAGAGAGAGUGAUGGUCAAAGUAAAGAUCCACUUCCAUUCAGCUGCAGAGGCUAACCUUCUGAGGCAGCCCCGCUUCCUCCCUCACCUAAUUACUCGGAGGAGCUGUCCGGGUCUCUGUGUCAGCGCUGACCUCACACUGAUCCAAUUUGACCCCGGCCCACACGAGGCGCCCUCAGGUGUCACUGCCAGUCAAGAGGAGGUCAAUGAAUCCCACCUUAAUAGUCAUCAGUUCAGACUGUCUCCAAGGGACCAUGAAUAAUCCCCAUCAUUCAUCUCGCAGACAGACUGUAGAAGCACUCAGAGGAUCCCAGCGGCUUAUUGUGCUGCGAAGCUGCUGCGUGUCUGUGUGUGUGUGUGUGUGUGUGUGUCUGUGUGUGUGUGUGUGUGUGUGUGUGUGUGUGUGAGUGUGUGGACCAGCCUGACUGCAGGUGCAGCCUUGUAGCUUUAAACCAAGACGUCCUGCAUCAGGUUCAUUUUCCCCGAGGUGAAGUGUGCGGUCUGGUGCGGCUGAUCGUUAUUGUCUUUAUUGAUUAAUCAAUCGUAAGUGGCCGUGAUUUUACCUCACUGAGUGCUCCCACGGUUAAAAGUGGGCCAAGUGUGUGAAAAACAGAGCGUCUUAUAAAACCAUAUUGACCAUUUAAAAUCAAAACGGUAGAAACGGACACCAAGCGCCGAGACGUUUUCAGCUCAGAGUGCUCUCCAAACACGGUUCCAGCGCGCCUUUUUUCUCCAAGUUCUCCAGAAACCUGGAGGUCAAAAGCAACAGCAGUAAGAGGCCGACUAAAAAGAUUGAUAGCAGUAACUACAGCUCAUGAAAUGCUGAUUCUUCUCAGAGGACCCAACCUGGAGAGGACAAAAUAACUAACAUCAGCCGCUACUUUUAGCUUUCUGUGGAGAAAUAAAAACGACCUGCCUGCUGACUUCUUUUCAUUUUUAAGUGAUUGACAAAAAAGGCUAAUGUAUGUAAUAGAGGUGAGCAUGAAAAAGGGAGAAAGCAUCAGUGUGAAAGGGUGAAAAAAGCUGUUGAACAAGGCGCAGUUUGGGAAACUUUAGAACGAGGAAAAACUGUAGGAGUGAGAGUGGACUUUCAGAGAGUAACUUCAGCAAACUCAAAGAACAGCUGGUUUAAUAAGAAGCAUUUUAUUAUUUAAUGGAUUAAAAUAAUGUGAAUUAUAUUUCACUUCUUUUAGUUUGACUGCUCUCUUUAUUUCUACUUUAUUUUUCUUCUUACAAUUUCAAAUUUCUUUUAAAUUUCUCAUCUUCUUUGUUUGUUUUCCGUCUUUCUUUCUUGUAUUUUUCUUUCAUAUCCUUUAAUUCUAUUUAGCUUUUUCUUUUUUUUUCUAAUUUUCCUUCGUCCUUCUUUUUUCUUUCUCUUUUUUUUCUUUUAUUGUAUCCUGUCUUAAAAUGUUUUUCCUUAUUUUCUUGUUUUUGGGUUUUAACUUCUUUCUUUUUUAAUUUACUCUUCUUACAUUUUUUUUAAAUUUAAGUCCUCAUCGUCCUUCUUUGUUUUUUUUCUUUCUGUCUUUUAUUUUUCUUUCUUAUCCUCUUUUUAAUUAUAUUUACAUUGUUUCCUUUUUUCCUUUUAUUUUUCUCCUUUCCUUUUUUCUGUUUCCCUUCUUUCUUUCUCUCUUUUUUUCAAAUUUUUUUGCGUCCUUUCCUUAUAUUUUUUUCUUUUUCCUUAUUUUUCUUGUUUGUUUGGUCUUAAUUUAUUCUCUCUUUAAUUUAUUAUUCAUCCUACAUUUUUAGUUUUUUUUAAAUUCUCAUUUUCUUUCUUUGUUUUUUCCUUUUUUUUCUUAUCUUUUACUUUCAUAUCCUCUUUGUAAUUCCAUUAAUGUUUUCUUUAUCCUUAUUUUUCUUUUUUCUUUUUCUCCUUUUCUUUCUUUCUUUCUUUCUUUCUUUCUUUCUUUCUUUCUUUCUUUCUUUCUUUCUUUCUUUCUUUCUUUCUUUCUUUCUUUCUUUCUUUCUUUCUGUCAGUCUUUCUUUCUUCCUUACAUCUUCCAGGCUUUCUUUUAGGUUAAUCUUUUAUCAUAUUUAGCUACUUUCUUUUUUUUAAACUUCUCCUUUCUUUUAUUUUUUCUUUAUUUCUAAUUUCAUCUUAGGUUUUUUGUGUGUGUUUUUUCUCAGACUUGUUUUUUCCAUUAGUUACCCCUCAGGCCCUCCUUUCCAAAAUAACUGCAGAAAAACUGAAAGAUCAAAAAAUGUACCUCGGAGAGCCUCAGGGUUAAAAUAAAUUUAUUUUUCUCUCUGUCUGUUUUGUAUCUUCGAUGUUAAAUACACCUUUACCUCUUCCUGCUGCUCUCAAGUCUGCUCCUCAUCUCCGUACGCUGAAGACCUAAAACAGAGAUGAGUGUUUUUGCCACAGUGUCAACAGGCUGACACUGAGAAAUGUGCCGGACUCUUUUUCUCUCUUCUUUGGAGGUUUUGACCAAUCAGAGUUGAGUUUCUAACACAGCUGGAGGAUAAUAAAUAUUCAUCUAAAACAGAGAAAAGAACUGAAUGUUUGUUUUGAGAGGCUGGGAACUGAACGCUUUGGGGUUUUACUCUUUUUAUCGUCGGUAUGAGCUGAAUUUCCUCUCAUCUUAUUUUCCAGGUGAUAUUUUUUUGUAAAAGCUUCUUAUAUUUGACAGCUGUGCUUGUUUUUUAGUUUGUGAUUGUGAAGUUUCAUGGCUCUAAUAUGAUGAAAUCAUGUUUAUUUCGCAGGGCGCUGUGUGUUUGUGCCUUUUUCAUCAUCAGUCAUAAAACUGAACUUUGGUCUUUCAGAUCUGUGCUCUGGGACUAAUGAUGCUUGUUUGGCCCUUGACUUCCAAACUCUUAGAAAACCUCUGCAGUGAACUAACACUCUCAAAAGUUAAAAACUCAAGAUUAAAUAAAAUAAAACAGCGAGAUAACCCGUGGUAUGAGGCGCAGUGUUUUUGGGUCAUUUUCCUUUGAACCAAAAACACUUUGAAGAACAAGAAAACAUUCAAAGAUCUUGUGAAUAGAAGUUCAAUACCGAAGACUUGGCGGUUUAAGGAUGCGAGUUCGCAUCGCCCUGAGAAGUGUGUCUGUGAUUGCCUGCUGAAUGUUAUGAGUCUAAAGGAGGAUAUGUUUGAACCCUGGUCUGACCUGCUCUUCACGCCCGUGUGUCUCUCCUGCUGCAGUCCAAGUACUUUCCCGUGAAAGGUGUGCUUCUCUUAAGACUACUUUACAUGGGUUUAAUGAAUAAUCAAGGACUGCAGGGUGAUUUCUUCUGUGGCCCUCAGAGCCACCUCACAGAUCCGGCUUCGUCCUGAAUGUAUAAUCAGGAACAUGUGAGGGUUUGAUAGUAUCAGAGAUCUGAGCGACCUUUUCUGACUCCGUUCACUUCCUCCAUCUCUGAGCUGUUGUCUGCUUUAAUCUGAGAAACGUUAAAUUUAGAUGUAUGUUCCUCUCUGUUUGAUUCUCACAUCCUGACUUGAGUGUCUUUGUUAUUGCGCCGCAGCGUACCGGUGAUUAAUGACUCCACUUCAGACGGUUAUUGUCCUGUAUGGGCUGAAUCAUCACGGUUGAAUGCAGACAUGCUGAUCUAACAUUCGCUCAGACAUGCGAGCUUUCUUUAAGUGUCUCAAACUGUGCGUUUGUAAAUACAUUCAGAUCGAGGGUUAGGCCAGAGUUCCUUUAGAUUUGACGUAUGAGCAGUACUCGACAUUUUCAAUACGAUGACUUUUAAUGUUAAAGUUUCUCUUUGAAUAAACAAGCUCCUAAGUGUCUCCAACCACUUUUCAGUUUAUUCAGAGACCUGAAAAAAGAAACCUUUUACAUUUGAACGAGGAGAAACGACGGCACAAAAUGUGAAAUGUAACAAAGUGUGAUGGGAAAACACUCAGCGAAUAAAUCAUGACGUAGGUGAAGAGUUGACCUAAAUGUUCAGUGAAGCUUCUCCAGAAGAGACGAGGAACAGAGGCAGAGGAAAACAUCAGGUUUUUUAUUUUCUGGCUCAGGCUUCAUGAGGAAAAUCAGUUUAUUUUGUUCUACUCUGGAUUGAUAACCGAGAGCUGUGUCACAUCCUACCAACCUGGACUCCCACCUUCAGAUUAGGGCUGCACGAUUUCGGCCAAAAAUAAAAUCCUGAUUUUUUUUUUUCUCUGAAAACUUGAUUUUUGAUUUCUAUUUCUUAUUCAGUGACAACUUCACCAAACUUCACUUUAAUAAUAAGAACUUUUUCGUUCAUCUCUCACAAUGAAACCGCUGAGAAUGAUGUAGUGCAUACGUCAAGCCAGUGAGUGGCGCUGUAACACUGAAGAAGAGUACAGAGCACGUACCAAUUCCACACGACUGACUAACUCUUGUCCUAUUUAACCACGAAAUUAUCGCCUUCUUUUGCAAACACCAUGUUUGUUCACACUGGUGUGUGAGGGAACUGUGGAGCCUACGGUGGCCUGGAGGCGUGAGACAUGAUAGAGAGGAAAAAAUGAUUUGACGAUUAAAAUUUUUUAACAUCCUUGUUACGACUGCGGCUCGGGGCAGAUACCUGUGUUACCUUUUACCAUGUUUAGUUGUGUCCGUGUCCGUGUCUGCGAGUGGAUGUGACUCUACAGGAACAGCUGCGGAUUGGAUGAUCAGCCUGGUCGGCAGGACCAAUCGGAGGGGAGUUAACUGUUGAAGAGGCUGCCGAUUGGAGUGCUCAGGGGCAGACACUCGUGUUCGUUCUGUAGACACUUUGUUAGGGAGAUCUGUGUGUGUUAACUGCUGUGGAGGUGACAUUGUGUAUUUCUUUUAUUGUCUUGUAAAGAGUUAGGAUGCUGCUCACACUUCGAUUGUUUAAACUGCUAGUUGAGUUAAUUUGUGGUUUUGGUUUCUUCACUCUAGUUUAAAGUCGCCUUUUGUUGCAUUUGUUUGUUUCGUUGAGCAGUACCCAAUAUACCUCUGUUUUUCGCCUCAAACUAUUUUGCAAUUAAACAACCUUUUUUACAACAACUAAAUCUGGGUUUUAUGUUACGUUCUUUCCCUUCUGGGUUGUAACAAUCGUCAUAAUCAAAUAAUCCGAUUACCAUUUAAAAUCGAUCUAUCAUGCAGCCCUACUUAUAAUGAUCCAGGCUCUGUCAAAGCAAACCCCACAUGAUAAUAUAGUUAUGACCUCCUCUACCAUCAGGCCUUCGGUGUCCCUCAGGUCUCAGCCAGGAGGCGAUGAGAUCCAGAACAUCAACAGGCUGGUCAAGUGGUCACUUCCUCAUCCUGGUGUUUCCUCAAGUGAGGCCCACCACAUCUGAAGGAGGCUCAACAGUUCGCUCCGGCAUCCCCAAACCACCUCUCCAUGCCGAGCUCUCACGGGUCAUCGUACCAUGAAGAGGAAGUAGAGAAGGAGGGGAGUGUUUGAAAGAAGAUGAGAAACUUUCCACCAAUCAGCUGUAGAAGUUUAGACACCAGUAUUUGUGGUGGUGAAAGACCAAGAGACAGACGAGACGACGUGAAGAUGGUGCGACGGUGUUUAUGGCGGGUUCUGGUCGAGACUGAAGGGUUGAGUCUCACAGAGAGAGGACACACACGGGGGAAAACCGCUCUGCUCUGUUACGUAUGAUCACAAAUAUCCUCUUUAGGAAGUUCCUGUAGGUUUGGGUCCUCAGAGGCUGUCCUGUGACCCGGUUUCGAUUACACUCGUCUCCUCAGAUCGACGCGCUCCUCCUCAAAACACUGGGCUCAUGUGUCUGAGUCUGACCUCUAUCUCUACAACCCAUCGCACAUGUGCAGUAGUGUCCAACAGUCCGUGUCAAGUGAUGUGAGGCUUUGUGGCGGCUGCGGUUGUGUGUUGAGCUUAGUGUGACCCUCAGACCUCUAUGAAUGUGAUUAGUGCGGACACGGCAGAGCGGCGGCGGCGCUGGGAUGAUGUUGUGUUGGAGUGCCGCUCUCGAUGACGCUCUUGUUUCCAAACGCAACGCUGUACUCGAGUGAAAGAGGUCAUCCGAGCUCCACGAGAGGACCAGACGAGUGAUGUUUGAUCUGUUUCCUUUAAAAAACCGACAGGUAAUGUUCAGGUUUUUUAUUUUUUACCUGGAGUUUGUUAAAGAAACGAGUGAAACUGUAAAAGUUUCAACCAAAGAGUUGUGUAAGUUUUAUGUAAGUGGUACACCCAUCGACAUUCAAUUUAAGUCUUUUUAAAGCUUCAUAAAGGAAAGUGUAAAAACACCGGUUUGAUAUUCACUUGUUACUCCGAAAAAAGACCCACUUUAUUCAUCAAACACUUUGUAUUCCGGCGUGACCACUUCGGUAUCUGAAAGAACAGACAAUCAGCUCCCGUCUGCAGCCCCCAAAUCUUGUGUUUGGAGCACCGGGGGAGGAGUUUUGUUUUUGGCAGUUGUGCAGAUCCAUACUGUAUGAUUUUCUUCAAUCAGGGAACAGUACAAAGCGUCUCCCUGGAGUUUGAGCACAAAGCCUUCAGCUGCUGUUUGCAGGCUGAGUGUGUUUGCUCCCUGCGCUCCCUGAGUUUCCCCUCUGUUCGACUUCCUCCCACCUGUACCUGCACCUCUCGUCUGACGUGUUUCAUUACACACACACACACACAUAUAUAUGUUUAUAUAAGGGCUCCUUUUGCUCCUUUUAAACUCAGUUUUUCAGCCGCUCUCUCAGAGGUUGUUUGCUCAGAGCUAAUUGGACAGUAAAAUCCAAUUCAUUGAAAAGCAGGGCUAAAGAUUAGGGAAAUUCCAUUAGCAUAUGGUUAGGGGUGACUGCAUUUCAGUCCUGUUUGAACUUCAAAUGUCAUCUCACUGCCAAUUACAGACUAAAUUGCAAUUUACCUCAGUUAAUUACCUUAAUUAAUAUUCAAUGGAACAGCAAAAAGACUCCUACUUGAUUUGUUCCACUUUUAAUUUAACAUAUCACGCCUCAUAAUCAGGCCAUAUAAGAUAUGCAUCUCCUUCACUCUUGCUCGUCCGGCCGAGACACCUUCACGUUUACAUUAUCUGAAAGGAGUUAGAUAAUACAAAUAAAAAACACACAAAAAAACGACAUUUUAAGUAUUGAAAGAUAAGGUGCAACACAAAGAGAUGCUCAGUCCUCAUUAACGGUUGUAAAUGCAGCUUUCGGUUUCAUGUUGCAUCAUCCCGUAAUGGGUUUUACCGCUCUGAAUCUUUAAACGCUGAAGGCUUCAUGUGUAAAAUAGGUGCUGACAGAGCGAUGGAGGGUUUAGCUCAGCCGCGCAGAGGUGAUAUCAGCCGUCAGUUGAAAGCCCCGGCACUCUGAGAACAUUUGUUCUCUCUGGAAAUUAGUUGAAACAAGGAGCACUUCUAUUUCCUGCUUCCCAUUUGCCGUCUCUGUCAGCUCUCCAGACGCCGGACUAUUUUCUUCUUUUCUCCGAGCCGGCACUCCUGCAGGUCAAACGCUAACCUUCAACACCACUUCCCUUUACCGGCGAGAAGACUUCAGUUGCUAUUUGAGUCUGUAAUGUUCCUGCAGUGUGGGCAGACAAUUACAAUCAGUGCAGUGCAGAAGUACGUGAUCGUUUAUGAGGACUGAGACCAUUGAUUAUUGAUGUUUAACAAUCAGGCGGACACAGUAUAUGCCAUAGGAAUAUGUAUUUAUAUUUAAACACAGGCAGCAGCGUUUCCAUGAAAAACAUACAGCGUUGGACUGAAACCUUUGAAGGGCUUUAAGUGUUUUUCAGGCUCUAACACUGCUGCGCUGUUAUAUAGGCUAUACUUUCAAGAGCUUAUUCUCUACAUGUCACAUUAACACACAUUCAUACACUGAUGGAGGAGGAGUCUUUGUAAAGUGCGCGUCAGUAUUAACCAGGGAGAUUCAGGGUUCUACAUAGUCAUCCAAAUGUCAGAUAUCUUUGUGCAUUAGCUCCCUCCAUGAAAGAUACACAAACAGAUUUGUGGAGAAAAAUAAGGAACAUUUGUCUGAUUAUUCUCUGCAAAAUACACUUAAAAGGCCUAAACUGAAGGCUGCUCUUGUGUGACCUUGUGGAUCCCUCCUCAAACUUGCCUCCUCUCUGCUCCGAGUAGCAGUUAGAGGUUUUUUUCAAGCAAGGGGAUAUUUAAAGGGAUAUUCCAGCGUGAAAUUUAAUGUAGAGUCAAACACAUCAUAACACCGAGUUAGACCCCCCCCUCCAGAGAUGAAUAUUGCCGACUGCUUGCUUCUCUAGUUUUACCAAGCGAGACCUCAGGCCAGUCCAUUACAGACUACAGCGGGGUGCCGCAGCUCAAGGAAGAACAUUUAUGAUAAUUUCUUUAUCAUUUCCUUGAAGUAAUAAUCAUCAUAUUAAUCAUUUUGCAGACGCGGUAGUUCUUCUGCCUUAGCGUCUCGAUCUGAUUAUAUUUCCAUGAAGAAAUACAAUCAGCAGCUUGUAAAAGUACGGUAAGAAAAGAUCUGACGGAUCUUGUUCAGGGAUGCAACAUAAUGAAAAUUCUAACUCACAGUUACUAAAAUAAUCACGGUUCUCGGUGUUGUCACGAUAUUUUAAAAUAUGUAUUCAAAGGUAUUUUUGAUGCUGUUAACUACAACUAAACAAUGCCUCGUUUUCAUGGUUUCAUCGUAUCUAGACAGGAUUACUGUCUUUAACUAAACAUUCCCUCAACAUUCCCACAAAACCCAAAACAUGCCCAUACUUCCGACUUGGUCCUCUGAUGGAUGUCUUCGGCGCUGUCGUCUUCGCCUCCUUCCACCAUGACUCCAUUUCAAACUAAUAAGAAAUCUUAAACGCUAAUUGUAGACUACACAGUGCGCCUGCGCUGCUACUUCAGGAGACUCAGAUGAAGCUGGGAUGAUUAACAAAGAGUUUCCACGACAGGCAAUUGAUCGUGACACACCGCCACGGCUAAAUAAAAGCCGCCACACCUUUAAAAUUAGUUUUUUUUUCGUACAUGUCUCUACCUCAGACUCAUAGGUAUCAGUUUACUUACAUGCCGUGCACCAUGGAUUAACAUUCGUAAGUUAUAUUCGUAAGUUGGUUACCUCGGGUCUUUUUAUAAAUGAAAAUAUCUGCGGCCUGUGUUUAUGUUAAACUGUUGAUGGAUGAUUUUAUUCCUGACAUGUUGACGGUUAAAGGAAAGUAGUUGCACCUUGUCCGUCACCGUUUAAUUAGCGCUGAGUUGAAGGAGCGUUUGCAGAAGUAAACAUUUUGACAGCUGUAAUUUUCCUGAAUGUUGUGAGUGAUCUUUUAAUUAGCCGGCGAUUUGUUGUUAAACUGCCUUAUUUAAUUAUUUAACCAACUGUGAAUGUCCACUCACUGUGGCGUGUGAAAGGAAGAAAAUAUCUCAUCUCACAAAUUCAAAUAAAGUCUAAAUCAGUUUGUUCUGAUGACAGGUUGUAGUUGUAACACUUUGAGUGGAAUAAACGGUAACCUAACAGCUACAACCAGACGGUAUAAUCUUUCCACAUUUAAAUGUCUCGACUCGAUAAGCGCAGGUUUGCUGAGUUCAGGUGGGUUUAACUUUUUAGUCGUCUGGAACAAAGAGCCACUUUUUCAACUCUCUCCGACUGUCUCUAUCUCCUGUCUACACAUCAGUAAUGUCCUGUGAUAGAGGCACAGCCACUGAUGGAGGAUUUAGGAGCGGAGAGCAGAAUGAAACACUUUCAUCCUGCAGAUGUCUAAAAGCACUGACCUCAGACGUUAAAACGAAGAAGAUUAGCUGCACUUUUCCUCUACAUCUGAGCUUGUGUCCAGGAAAUCAAAUUACCCGGGGACCUGAAACAGCAGACAUAAAUGUAUGUUGUCAUGUGGUUUGUUUUUCUUCAAAGUAAGCACGUCAGGGGAGUCCUCCUCUGCUCCUCUCGGUUUUCUCUCUUACUUCUUCUUGUCUGUUAAAUUGGCGCUGAAGGACUCUGUGUUGUUUGCCUCUUUCUCUGCCUUCAUGGAAACAAGGUCAGGGAUUCGUUUUAGCUUUUACUCGUCCUCACUCAUGCAUAGCUUUCUGCUGUUUUGUUGCUGUGUGACUUAAAAGGCCCGGAGUAUAUGAGGCCGCUGAACGUCUCUGCGGUUAAUACAACAGCGCAGACGUACGAGGUCAACGCUCUGACACUAAACACAGAUAGGUGCAGUUUGACCUCAGACACUGGGAUGAUAACAGCACAGGUAAAAUAAGGUGACAGUAUAUACAGUAGGCUGUAAAUCUGCUCGAUGAUAACAGUGUCAGGACUGUUUCAGCACCGUGGACAGCUCCCACCCGGGACACUCUUGUUCCUUAAAACACAGAAGCUUCGUUUGGUUUAUUCAAAUUCUCGCCCCGCACUCGUGUCGUGUCGUUCAUGAAUGUUUCGUUCAAAAGUACGGAACUGCUGAGUGAACGACGUGAACUGAAUCACUCUGAGAUCUGAUUCGUUCUUUUUUUAGUCCAGUUGAGCUCAGCCGCGAGCCCGGCAUGUCGGUCAGAAGUGGAACUGCCGCCUUUGACUCUUUGGCGAACGACACACAGCCAACGAGCCAGCAAGUGGGCAGAGUCUCGUGAUUCACUCGAAGCGACAUGUAUCAGUCAGUGAACAGAACAGUCUGUGAACGAAACAGUCAGUGAAUGACCUGUAUCAGUCAGUGAACGAAACAGUCAGUAAACGAAACAGUCAGUGAAUGACCUGUAUCAGUCAGUGAACGAAACAGUCAGUAAACGAAACAGUCUGUGAAUGACCUGUAUCAGUCAGUGAACGAAACAGUCAGUAAACGAAACAGUCUGUGAAUGACCUGUAUCAGUCAGUGAACGAAACAGUCAGUAAACGAAACAGUCUGUGAAUGACCUGUAUCAGUCAGUGAACGAAACAGUCAGUAAAUGAAACAGUCUGUAAAUGACCUGUAUCAGUCAGUAAAUGAAACAGUCUGAGAACGAAACAGUCAGUCAGUGAACGACCAAAUCAGUCAGUGAACAAAACAGUCAGUGCACUAAACAGUUGGUAAAUGAAACAGUCUGUGAACGACAUGUAUCAGUCAGUAAACUACACAGUCAGUGAACGAAACAUUCUGUUAACGAAACAGUCUGUAAAUGACCUGUAUCAGUCAGUAAACAAAGUCAGUGAACGACAUGUAUCAGUCAGUAAACGAAACAGUCAGUAAACGAAACAGUCUGUAAAUGACCUGUAUCAGUUAGUAAACAAAGUCAGUGAAUGACCUGUUUCAGUCAGUAAACGGAACAGUUGCUGAACGACCUGUAUCAGUCAGUGAAUGAAACAGUCUGUAAAUGACCUGUAUCAGUCAGUGAACGAAACAGUAAACGAACUGUAUCAUUAUGUGUCUGUGUCACUCACUGCACUGGCAGGACAGGGCUCUGAAGCUCUGACUGAUUCAGUGAAUCUUUUGAACGAAUCCUUUUAUGAAAGGAUUCUAAAGAUUCAGUUCAGUCAAAAGAACUGAUCUUCCCAUCACUUCCUCAUACAGUAGAUUCUCUUUAGGAUGUUAUUUAAAGUGAAUGUUUUUAUGCGUGAUCAUAAAGUUUGACAGCAAACACCUUCAGUUAAAUUUCACUUUAAAAACGAUCACAGUAGGAGGUUUAAAUCUGAAAAUGCGGUUCUCACACAUAGAGGGAAAAAAAUAGAUUGCCUUUUCAACAACUGGGAAAUUUGUCACUUGCAUAACGUUACAUAACUACAGUGUUAAAAGUCAAUCCUAUAAAUGUGCUCAAAAAACACCAAUUAAAAUGCAGGAUGGAUAAAGUGAUGACCUCAAGUGUCUCUCCUAUGAUUUUAAUUAAAUACCUGACUGCCAAAACUAUUCUUAUAACGCCAGAAUUCUCCCAAUUAAUUAAUCCGUCUGAAAUCUUUUGUUCCCAGUACAUUUGCUUUUAGACCUUACGUAGCUGCAGCAUUACAGUUAAUAAGAUUUAAGGGUACUCAAAUGAGCUCUGAAAGGAAAGACGAAUUCUAAUUAAGGUCCUUAAAAAAGAAAAAAGAGAGGACAGGCUUUUUGUCUGUGGAGAUAAACAAGAUUUCUUUAGUUUGUCUAUGAGGGAGUGGAGUGUUCUUUCCUUGAGUUAAUACUGAUGGGUGCUAUAUUCAGCAGCCUCCGCUUUCAGAGAAUAAAUGCGGUAAAAAUGCGUCAUAGACCCAUUAGGGCUACAACGAUAAGUUGAUGUUGUCGACAGAAAUCGAUAAUAAAAAAGGUUGACAAUGAAUUCCAUCGUCCACUGAUGUCCCAAACAUGUUUUUUCCAGUGGAGUGAGGCAUCUUACUUCAUAGUAGUGAUGACGAGAAUCAGUUCACUGAAAGUCUGUGACUCCGACUCCCCUGAACUGAUACACAGCUAAACGGUUCAGGAUUCAGUUCAGUUCAGUGUUUGUCUGCGUUACUUUGGCAAACAGGUUUGUAAAAAUAAACUUGUUUAUGAGUCAUGAUGUUUUAAGUGUACUGUCUUUUGGUAUGCUAUUUAUCAGGUCUGCUCGGUAAAUUUGGCUCAGUGAGUGAUUCAUUCACUGAAGGUUUAGAAGAAUUCAAACUGAACAUGAACCAUUUCCUCUCAAACCGCUGCAAUGAUAGGAUGCUGCAGGUUUAAUGCACUACUUGUUACAUGCUGUGGCCUACUGUAUGAAAGUUGCUGUGGUGGCAAAUUAGCAGUGAAAAAAAAAUGUAGUUUUGGCCGACUAAAAUGAUUCCAGAGAGUGUGGUUCAAUGCGUGAUUCGUUUACCAACUGAUUCUUGCGUCGGUGCAUGUGGUCCCUCGUUCGCCGGCUGCUGGCCUGGCAAUGCUGUUUCUCACUUCAGCUCAACUGAAGUGAGAAACGAACGAAUCACUUGAGGAAGUGAUUCAGUAGCCCGUUGGUGAUGGACGAACAUUUGAGGAGAAAGUACGUAAUUAUUCGAUAAGUCGAUGAAUCGUUUCAAUAGUCAGUGGCUGGUCAACUAUUAAUAUAAUUGUUAGUUGCAGCCCUUAAACCUAUCUCUAAGCUGCUCUCUAAGUGGAGUCAUUAAUAAUUGAUUAGCUUAAUUCAGUCUUUAAUACAGUCGACCACAACGUAUUAGUCAGCUAUCUGAAAUACUUUGCUGAAAUCAGUGAUGUGGUGCUGAAUCAAGUGUCAAAAUUCUCUUUUUCUGUUGAUAAAGUCUCAUCCUCUCAUGUGGAGUUCCUCAGGGGUCUAUCUUGGGUCCCCUCUUAUUCACACUGUACAUGCUCCCACUGGGCAUGGUACAGACUUUCACUGUUAUGCAGAUGACACUCAGCUCUAUGACCCAGUAAAACCUGGCACCACUGAUGUGCUCACGUUAUGUCUUUAAUAAUCUGUCCUCAUGUAGUAAUGUUCUCUAAUGAUCAUACAAUAGGAAUAAAUAAGUAGGAGCUUGUACACGUUUCUAGUAGGAGUAUUUCCACAAGAGCAAACUCAGAGUUUGAAGUAGAAUAUCUCAUACAUUAAAGUUUGUAUUUCCCAAUGCUUUGUUUGAUAUAAAACCGGGGAAACUGUGCAGACCUUUGGUCUCACCUGGAGGCAGAAAAUGGAAAUCCUCAUUUUGAUACAUUCUGUUCACCGCGCGGUUCGACACCGCGGCCUCAAGAUAAAGCCAGGUUUCAAUAUCCUCUUAUACGUCUCAUUUAAUCAUUUCACAAUAAUAUCUCCUGACAGCCUGUGUGGAAAAUCAAUAAGACAGAGCCGGACUCACACAAGACUCUGAUUCGUUUUUCUGAAAACUCUGUACAGUGCUUUUUCUUCAACCUUUCGGGGCGUUGGUAUUCAGUGGAUGGAGUAUUACAUUUUUCACACCCUUGUUAUUUUUUCAUUCUGUGGAAUAAUAUCAGGACAGAGUAGGAGGAUCAGUCCAAACUUUACUCGGCUACUUUUGACUGUUUUUGUUGAUUCAGGAAUUUUUUUUUUCAAUUCCCAAAUUCAUCCUUUUCACGUCUGACGUAUCAGGGUUUCCAAUUACGCCCGUCCAAACUGCCUGUCUGGUACCGGUACCACAAACCUGACCUCAGAUCACCGACGGUGUCUGAUAUAGACGUCCAGGUUCAUGGUCGUGAAGCUGGCAGCGGUGUGCGGAUGUCUGGACAGUCAUAAAGACAAUGAUCAGUGUCAGGUUUGCUGAUUCACCGUGUCGCUGUGUCCAGUGUGUGAUAAGACCAGAGGAAAGCUGUGAUGGGAAAUGUGACGGUGGCGUCCUAAAAAGCGGAAGUGACAGACGAGAGGGACACGCUCGAGCAGGCCAGAUGAAAUUGAAUCCUGUCUCGCCGGAUGCCUCUGAAAUGACGCGUCUCCUGCACUUCUGUGUGGACCUGUCUGUUCUCUCGUUCAGUCUGCCUUUCACUCAUUCAUUCAUUAUGUAGAGGAAUAUACUUUUUUACGUCGUCAGGCCGAGUCCGGUCAGGCGAGGGAGGGGCUUGAAGAAACUUUGGCUGAACAUUUAUUCUGGAAAUGUUGUUUUUAAUAAAUCAGUUUUCACAUUACAGCAAACGACCACAUCUGCGCUCCACACUCUUUACACAGUCAUGAAGGUUAAAACUAACUGUCCUUGACUUUUUCCACACAGCUUACAAAACCGCUGUUUAUUCUAACAAACACAUAUGAGCGUAAUAAUAAUAAUAAUAAUAAUAAUCUCUAACCACGGUGGGAGUGUGUUUUCUUCUUCUGUGUAGAUUCAGUUCAAGCUCAGCCAACCAGAGAAAACACACAAAACAAAGCGGACACAGGUCGACUGUUUGUGUUGGAUGUUGUCCCAGAAUCACGAUGUGAUUGGUUCAUGGAUUCAGAAAAAAAAAAAAAAAAGUUAGUUAAACAAAAACCUCAAGAGGAGGCGACUGAAUUAUGAUCAGGGAGAAAAUGAUGAUUUAGUUUGGCUGGAGUUUAAUGGGGAUGGAGAAAAAUAUCAAUAUGAGAACUUAUCGUUGUUCUAGUUUGAAACUCAUGUUUAUAUUUGGUGAAGUUACUCCUGAAGGAAAGACAGCGUGAGGUUCUCCCCAUUAUUUGAGCUUUUUUUGAUUUAAUUAAAUUACAAAAACUACCAGUGUUGGGAAAUAGCAGAAAUGUGUGAUACCUAAACAAGACGAGUUUAUGACUUCAAGUCUUCAUUAGAGCGGCGAGAUUAAUCCGAGUUUAGUUACAAUUACAGCUUCUUAUGAUCAUGAAAGUAUUAUAAUUAAGAGUGAAUAAUUAUUGUGCUGCUGUGGUGGAAACUCUGAUACUGCCAGAGGUGGAGAGAGGAGAGCAGGGAGAGGAGCAAGAGGAGGAGGAGGAGGGAGAGUGUAUCUGUGUGUCUGAAAAGCAGAGGGACAAAAUGAGCAUGAAGAGAGAGAGAGAGAGAGACAGAGAGAGUCUGGAGCGGCCAUUAGUGCUAGCGCUAACGAGCUAACAGCAGACUUGCCCCCAAAUUCCACUGCAUGCGUUAUGGCGACAAAAAGGCCUUUUCCAUUCAAGUUGAUGUGUCAAAUUCCAUCGGCGUCGGGCACAGACGCAAAAUAAAACAUCUGGCUUCUUUUCAAAAUAAAACACAAUGUGUUCCAGGCGGAUUAUAUUUCACACCAUGCACAUGUGGGUGAGGACGAACAAGAUAAAGAUAACUAUUGCACUUACCCAUGGUUAAUUCCCAAUCUCCACAGAAGCUUCUGGUCUACUGGUCUGGACAAAGUGGCUUUCCUCCCCUGAAAGGAUGCAAUCUACUGCUUAUACAGUUAUGUUGCUGCCUUUAUAGAGACAACGCGUUAUUGAUCGAUUGCAUGUGAAUUUGUGGGUUAUUGUGACUCCUGAUUCCUGCUGUCUGAAAAUUCGCCUCACAAACGCAUCUGGUAGGAUUUGGCGGACGGUGAAAAUCACAGGUGUUCUGUACAAUUCUACGUACGGUGGAAUUUGGGGGUUAAAGGUCAGAGACAUCGUUCUGAAUCAAAAUAAAAUUACCAGCCCAAGUCUUGAUGUUACGAAGGAUGUCACAAUUUUUUUGUGAUAGUGUAAAAAUACUUUAGUACAAGUGAAAUCUGGCGUUUAAUUUAGCGAGAAUUGUCACCAAAUUAAUUUAAAGCAGAUUAAACGUGCGGCUUUGAUGCACUCAAAAAAGGUUUUUCUUCUUCUUGUUUUUUAAAGACUCAAGAGUCUUCAGAGGUUUCUGUUGCGUCAAAUCAUGGAUCGUCAUCCUUCGUUGUAUCAGACAUCAAUCAGAAUAAUUCUGAUCUAGAGCUAAACGAACGUUCGUCUCCGUCUUCCUUCAGACCUGAUUUAUUCCUCUCUUUGAUCAGUACCUGGUGUCUCCCUCCCUCCCUCCUUCACUUCCAGUAAAUAAAAGCCGCUUCUGUUUUUCAAGUGAUUGUACCUGGACCCACAUUUCAUGAAAACCUUAUCACGCCGACGCAGCUGUCACCCGUCUCCAGAAAAACAAACAAUGUAAACGCGUUUUUUUAAACUGACACAAUCCUCAUUGAAAAGACUCGACUCGUGUGACGACGAGAGUAUUAUCGCCACGCAGCAAGGAAACACUGAUCUGUUCCAGCCACAGAGAUGAUUGAGGAAUCAUUGUCCACCUGAGUAUUCAGACUCCCACCCCACGCCGUCACUCACCGCCUGUCAAUGUCGAUUACACGUGGCUGUGGAGAAGUGUGAAAAUCCACAUGUCCCAUGUGGGGCCGGUUUGAUUCUGAGCGUCCUUGCUCAAAGUCAAUCGAAUUGCUGUCCUUUCUGAUGAGACGGACAAUAUCGCCUCUGUCAUACCUGUGAAGGAAUAUGGACUUCCUGCUCUGGACUUCCACUAAACAGAUUUUAAUCAAGUUAACGCGUCCUGACGAGUGAGUUUGAGCGAUUUUAUAAACUGCACACGGGAAAGUUUGGUUAUUUUUGUUGAUUAUUGUACCUGCUGCAGCUCCGGGGCUUUUAAACCCAAGAGGACAAAUACUGUUUUAUGCUGACACAUUUUAACACACGCUAUGUAUAUUUUUCAGAGAAUUAGUUUUUUUAUUUUUUGCGCUUUGGAUUAAGAGGAUUUUACCGUCUAUUCUUCUCCGCAGAUUCAAUGAAUCUCCCGCUGCCGCUCCUCUGAGAUAUUGUGUCGGAGCUCAGCGGAAAGCGGGCGCACCCACAGGGCCUACAUUACCGCUAAAGAAGGAAAAAAAGGGACUGUUUUCAUGUUUGUUUCUGCCGGGGAGAACAGCAUCCUCCUGCAGAACUACACGGGUCAGCGGGGGCUAAAGCCAGCUUUGCAUCCAGAGAAACGCCUGAGGGAAGAUUGGAGGCAGGAAUAUGUUGACACACGAUUCAGUCCACAAAUGGAGGUAUUCCACGUGGUGAAUACAGAAAUGCCUACACAGCACACCGCAGCCUCUCUUUUUCUUUCACAUGUCAUUAUACACAAGGAUGGAUGAGGAGCGAAGCCAAAUUUAUCCUGAUGGAGGUUUGAGGAGGGAGCCUGUCACAGAUGCAUUUAAUUGAUUUACAAGCUGGGGCCGUAAAAAAGGAGAAUUUGAUUCAGAGCGAAUAUCUCUCAACUCACACUGACUGAUUCAGGCAGGGAAGUGGCUCACUUGCUUUUUUGGAGAGUCUGGAGUGUAGAACAAAUGAUGGCAAUUAGAGAGAAGGCUUUAAAACACAGAUGUUUCCCUUAAGCAACGUUGUAUCCCCGCGGUUGUUGCGUGGAAGAGAACAAAGAGCGGGAGUUUUACUUUGUUGUUUGAAGGCAAACUAAUGGGAUCUCAUUUAGUGGAUCUGAAGCUUGUCCACAUUUACCUGGAUAUUGUGCUUUUUAGUGUUGUGUUCGUCUUCGUGCUCCACUCAGAGAUGUUCAGACAAAUCCGAGUUAAUUUCAUAUUUCUACUCUGUCUGACAGACUCGAUUUAGAGUGACUCUGAAAAGAGUCAAACAUUGAUCAACACGGGAUCAGAAAGUCAGAGUAAACAGUAGCUGAGUGUGGAUGACACCAGCAGAGCAGCACCACCAGCCUUCAGUCCUUCUUACAGGUCAAAGUUGUCAUGUUUGUACUGGUUAGUCACAUGGUUCUGCGCCAUUUCCUGCUGUAACCACUCAGCUUAAUAUCAUACUAGGGCUGGGCGAUAUGUCCUCAAAUCAACAUCAUGAUAUAUUGAUCAGUUCACCUCGAUAACGAUAAAUUAACUUCGUCUACUUCAGCCGCUCCAACUUUCUCUCCGUCCUCUAUCUCCUCACCUGUCUUUCCCUCUUUGUUACCGACUGGAUGGGGUGGAGUCACGUCUCUGACGUAGGACAGCGUCUUAAAGGGACAUGAGACCAUAGCCUACCUACACACAUCCAAAACCAACUUUGAUUUAUUUAUUUAUUUGACACCAAAUAUAUCGAUAUAGGCAAAAUGUCGUCAGUUAUUGUUGUAAAUUUCGGUAUCAGUAAAUUUUCGGUUUAUCGCCCAGCCCUAUAUCAUACUAUCUAAGAUGUUGUUUUGAUGUUGGUGACUGUAAACGGUACUUUUUAAAAACGGGUCAGAGAGUUUAUAAAUCUGUAAACGACGACCAUUUCAUCUCCGUGUGGAUGUCUAUCUGCAUCUCUGGAAACGAUCAUGUGACACACAGAGUAACUCUUUAAUGGCGCCAAAACAACCUUCAUACACAUGCUCUGUUCUCUUCUUCUGUCUUUUGUGCAUUUCCUGUGCAGCGUUACAGCGCCACUUACUGGCCUGGCAUAUAAACUACAUUAUUGUCAGUGGUUUCAUUUUGAGAGAUGAUAGAAAAACUUAUUGAAGUGAAGUUUGGUGAAAUUAUCACUGAAGAAAAAAACAAAAAUCAAAUUUUCAGAAGAAAAAAAUCAGGUUUUUACUUUUGGCCAAAAUUGUGCAGCCCUGAGCUGAUAUUAAUGUUGAAUCUGACUUUCUCUCCAUCUCUUUAUUUCCAUUCAUUAAAGUGAAUCUCAGUACUUUCCACAUAUUAGACUUUAUAACUCCAGUGUUAAUAGAUCUUAUUGGUGCAUGAGCAGUGAGUCGGUGCUUUUCACACUCUGACUGUAUAACUGGCAUAAGCACUCUUGGACCCGUGAACUCUGAAGAGGCACAAAUGCUGACCUGUUCGAUGCAAUCUGAGUUUUUAAAUAACUCGGCUCGGGUCUAGGGAGGUGGACGGUGUGUUCUGUUUACUUAGAUCAUACUGCCAACAGUUUAUGGUGCAUGUCCUGCAGCUUUAUGUCAGUGGGACUUGGUCGGUCAGAACUUUACGGGAAGACUUGGUCGAGUAGCAAAGACAACAAAACCGGACAGGAGGAGAGGAAGGAUUGAAGCUUCUGGCCUCACGUAUAACUCUGCUGCACCGUGGGCACAAAAGCAAAACAAGCACAAACAAGGUGCAAUGUCAUUACCGACAACUGUAAACAAUAAAGGCGGUGCUGUGAAAUACUCUCUGUCCCGGCAGCAUUAAAGCCAUAAACACUAUUUCACAGUUGGAGUCGGAGUGUGAGGAGUGUGAUCCAGAGCUGAGGAUGUGAACGAUGGUUUACAUCCUUAUUGAUUAGCUGUUUGAUUCCUUCCUCUGCAGGGACGACUGACAGUAUUGUCACUCUGUAGAUCACAGUCUGCCGACUAUCACGGCUCUGCAGACCAGCCCUGAUACUAUCUGUGUUGGUCUCUGGCCUACCACAGAUCCUGACCCUCUAUCAGACCCCCAAUCUAAUCAUGCUGUCCUCUCGGCUCCAUCCUUCCAGCUCCAGCUCCCACGAGGCCUCCUCCCCCACGCUGAAGAGAAAACAGUUGAAAGCACUUUCCAUUUGCUUCUCUACAGGGAGAGGCUGAUUCUUCCUCGGGGAGUUCCUCCCAGUUUUAAUGGUCAAUAAAUUGACAGUGUGCAGUGCUGCAGACUCUCACACUCUGUGAUCUCCAGAAUAAUCAUAACUCUGCAGAAAGCUCCACUCCGUGUUGGAUGUUUGUGAUAGCUACAGAGUCGAGCAUUCGAAGUUUCCAGAGUGAUUCAUGAGAGUGUUUUGAUAUCCUGGAGACGACACUCUGAGACAGAGUCCACAAUGAGACCACAGUGUGAGAACAGCCUGCAGCUGUGAGUGGGAUGUGUCCCCACGGCUCCAGCUCUGCUCUGCAGCUCUCUGUUGAUUUAUUCGUCUUGUAUUGUUCAAUAUUAAGUAAACUGACUCAUUUAUUUCGAGUAUGGACCAGAAUAUACCCACAAAGGGAAGGUCUUUGGCUUCUUCCUGUUACUGUAGCAGCAGACAAUCUGCAGCCUCUCCCUCCCUCUCUCUCUCUCUCUCUCUCUCCCUCCCUCUCUCUCUCUCUCUCCAUCUGUCUCCUCCUCUCUGUACAUCCCCACUGUCAUGGCAGCAGAAACACAUACUGAGCGUUUCAUAAAUGCUCUCUCCAGUCGUAGAAAAGCUUUUAAGGUUUCGCUCACUCCCUGAUUUUGUUGCUUUAUACUCACUGUGUCCAACUAACUAACGGGUCUGAUCCAUCUGGACGUCUUCAAAACCAUCCGAUGCUUUUAAAUCUCUAUAAAUAUUAAAACACUGUAAUGAUGACGAUGAUGAUGAACUCAAAACAGACUCAACUGGAAAUGUGCAGUUGGAAUAGCUAACCGCAACAUAAGUCCGAUCUAUGAGGAAACUAUCCAGUCAUAGGUGAGGAUUUAACCCUGAAUCCUGGUCUUUCCUUCCUACAGUUUCUUUCUGUUAUUCUGAUCCUUGGAAAACUCAAUAGCGGGACCAAGAAUAGAACAACUUUGGCAUUGAGUGUUUCAUUAUCAUGACAGGUGAUCCAUUUGUGGAUGAUCACCUGUUGUGAUAAUGAUCCAGAUCUGAAAGCUGCAGCGACCAGCUGUGCAAAAAAGAGCGGGAAAAGAGGGUUUCUAUUUAAGUAGAGGCGUUGAUCUCCGUCAUUAGCCAACAAUGAAAGGAGGAAACCGACCAUGUGUUUCAUUCCUUCGCUCUCAUUCAGAUCACCUACUGAGCAAAAGUUAUUCACGACUUAUGUAAGAGUAAAGAGUAAGUGAGCAUGUAAAAGACGACCACCCACAGGUUUUAAUCGACGUAACAGGAUGGUGUGAUGACGAGAGCAAAAACUGUGUGGACGUAUUUUAAUAUAUCUGAGAACCAUGGAUCGUGAUCAACAUCGUGUGUCAUGAAAUCCAAACAUCCUGAUCGCUGUUCUGAAUAUAAAAGUUCUGAGCACGCUCACUCCGUCUGUGGCUGAUGUUGCCGCCAAAAACACAAGCGGAUGGUUUCAGUUCUUCUCCGGCGUUUCUGCAGGUUUCAACGAGUCAAAUUUAAGACUUUUUUUAAGACCGUAAUGAAAACAAUUUAAGAUCCAUUUUACAUCCAUAAUGGAAAAAAAGUACAAAAGACAUGAAGGGAAAUCGGAACAAUUUACAUAACUUCAAAUAAAUCUUUAUUCGUAAGUAACAUCAAUAGAUUUUUAAGACCGUUCAAAAUUGUAUUUAAGAUAUUUUAUGAGGUUUUAAGAAAAUUUUAGUCAUUUUAAGGUCUUAAAUUCAAAUUAUUGGAAAUUACUGUUCUCACUUUUAUUCAUAACUUUAACAGAAAUCAACAUCACAACAUAAACUCAUGUUCGGCUACUGCUCUCGGCUACUUAAAGAAAAAAUUGUUGCUCUUGCUGGCGCCAUCUAAAGGUGUAAAUCUUGAUCAAAUUUUCAGCUCAACAGUGAAAACCAUGAAGAAUUCCAACAUGUAGAUGACAUUUCUAAGACAUGUUUACCUGAGCUGUUUGAUGAUAUAGCAGUUUACGUUGCAUUUGCAUCAAUUAAUAUUAAUUUAUACAAUUGCAGUGCCUUGAUUUUAGUGAAGUUAGCACACAGUCAUAAUCAUACAUUAAGUGGUACUAAUAAUUGGCAGAUUCAUUUCUUUUGGGUUUUCAGCCUUGGUUUCCUCAUUUUCGGUUCCAGCACAGAAUUUUAAUUUCAGUGCGUCUCUAGUAGAGAGUGAGCGGCCAUCAUUCACUCUCAUAUUCACGGUCUCAUGGGGAUAAAAAAAUGACUGAAUAUCUUCUGUGGUUGUACUUUAGUGUCGGUCCAACUUAAGAUCCAUAUGUGUCCAAACUCUUGUCUGUUUUUUCCUCACAAUGGUGUCGCUCCCUGUUGGUUAUUUGAGCAAACGCACUUUAAAGCCUCUGAACCCAGAAGUGGACCUUAAAUCAAACUAUCUUUUAAAGUUUAAGAAGAACACAAACAUUUGUAGAUCCUGUUUUACUCUUUGCUGUUUUCUCACUUUGUUGCCUUGAUAUAAUAAUUCAGGUUUUAAAAAUGUAAUGAGUUAUUACCUCACAAGCUAAGAGCAGACAAAAAGCCCUGCAGGAGCUCAAAGAGAAAAGCAAUCUAAGGUUCAGCUCUCAUUUAAAUCACCGGUUCUGUUGGACCUGAUUCAAACAAGAAGCGGGUCCGAUCUCUCGCUAAAACAAAGAGGAAAGGAGCAGAUGUCUCAGUAAAUGAACAAAGCUUCAGCUCGUCUCUCUGAACACUGACGAGGUUUAAGACCGACACUAAAACAGCCUGUACAUUACCAUCCUCUUACAGCGUCCUGCUGUUCCUUCAGCAAACACACGCCCCCGUCAUUGAUGACCGCCAAUGAUGCCGUGACAGCAAAUCAUUAAACUGUCCAAUCCUUUCGUGUCAGCCCUAAAUCACAGAGGUGAGAGUCGAUCUCAGAGUUCAGAAAAAUAACUUUUAAAACGGGUUUGAUUUUGCUGUCGGAGACGGUUGAAAACUGCUGCAGCAGGAUGCUGACUCCAAGAAAACUGAGCCGACAUCAAAUGAAAACCCCUCCAUCACUUCUCCUCGCCAACAUCUUUAUAUUUCCCCCCUCAAAAGUACCGCCAGUGAUGUUCUUCCUGAGAGCGAGUCUUCAAUCAGGGAGAUAAUGAGGCUUAAGAGGAAAUGAAGUUUAGGACGUGUUUGCUUGAUUGACAGGUGUCUCAGCCUAUCACAGUGGACGCAAACCUCUCUCCCUUGCAUGUACGCUACAGGCCAAAGGUUUGGAAGCAAGGCCAUUACGGGCCGAACAGUUGGGAGUAACGUCAAGUUUUUGUUCCAAACGCCUAAAAGUGUUUAACAAAGGAGUCCACUACACUCUGAAAAGACGAGAGGAACCUGGAAGAAAAAGGCCUGGACGAAAGAGAGUUACUACAAAAGCAGAGGAUAAACACAUUAAGUAAGAGAGAUCGGCAAAAGACAGCACCAAAAAUAAGGAAGGAAAUCAUCACGACAAGGUCGAAACCCAUAUCUCUGACAACCGUGAAAUGACGUUUGAGAAAGGCUGGUCUGAAGGGUUGUGUAUCUGCAAAAAAAUACUACUUUGUCCACAGAACAAGAAAAAGAGAGAUGAGUGGGCAAAGGUUCACAAAAAUUGGACUUAUGAUGACGAGAAACAAGUUUGAACUGUUUGGUUCAAAACGCAGAGUCUAUGUCUGCAGACAAACUGGUGAACGUCUGAAAGCUCCAUGUGUUACACCCACAAUUCAGCAUGGAGGUGGUAGCUCCAUGGUAUGGGGAUGUUUAGCAAGUGAUAGAGUAGGAGAUUUGUUUGAAGUGAAGGGUAUCAUGAAGAAGGAACAGUACCACUCCAUCCUCCAGCACCAUGCUGCUCCAUCUGGACUCAGACUUGUGGCUCAUAAGUUUGUUUUGCAGCGAGACAAUGACCCUAAGCACUCUGCCAAGCUCUGUCAGGGUUACCUCGACAAAAAAGAAGAGGAAGGUGUUCUUCAAAAGAUGGUUUGGCCCCCUCAGUCUCCAGACCUUUCUCCAAUAGAUCUUGUGCGGGAUGAAUUGGAUCGAUCGGUCAGAAAAACACGUCCCAUGAAUCAGCAGAAGAAGCAAAGUCUAAGCAACAAUAACUCAAAUACCUGAUAAUUAUAGUCAAAAUGUCUUCUGAUAAGUUUCUCUUUACACAAUAGUCAUGUUUAUUGUGUUGCAAAUAUAACUAUGAUCUUUUUUUUGUUCAAAUCUGAUCUUGCUUCCAAACUUUUGGCCUGUAGUGUAAAUAAAACAAAUUAAAAUGUAGAUAGGUUGGCGUUUAUGUCCAAUUUAGUUUACAGAAGUCUGCUUAUAGAUGGAGAUCUAACUCUGCGGUAAAACAAAUGCAUCAUGGUACCCAGACUUUGAGCUUAGAUACGACAUCGAUAAUAAUUAAAUGAUAUAAAUCGCUGUUUUGAUACCAACUAGAUGAAAAAUGAACUUCUGGGCACAGAAAAUGGUUAGUUUAUGGUUUUUGAUUUCCGAGGCUCACAUUAUGCUGGCGGAGAGAAAGUCAGUGAACACAGACCAACAUUUGAUGUAGUCUGACUGGUAAUGAAAGGCAACAUGAGUGGAGUCAUUUGUAUCCAGAACAGAAUUUACACUCUGAGUGAUCAGUCACAUCAAAGUCAGAGGAGUGUCUGUCUCUGAACUCAUCGUCUGAGUUUUCUCAUUCGUUUAUGCACCGGGCGUCAAUCAUUACGCAGCAGCGUGGCGCCUUCUGUCAGCGGCUCAAAGGUCAACGCUAAUUGAAACAAGAUGAUAUUGUCAUCUCGAUCCUCUGCAGAAGACUCAAGUGGUGUGUGUUUUUAAUAGACUGUAUGGAAACAACAAACCUCAACCUUUUUUAACCUGUGAAUGAGGAGAAUUAGCAUUGUCAACACGGGUUCAGCUCCAGAUUUAGCGCCCCCCGGCGAGAACGUGUCAAUGAGUUUGUCAGAGUCCAGCCACGGUGUAACGAUCAGUAACUGUUACGACUGGAUUACCGGAGCUCUUUUUAUUUACUUAAUCUCUGUGUCGAUCAACCAUUUUUCAAAAACCCAACUUCGUACUGAGGCUGAAACGAUCCGUGAGCACCUCGAUUACAAAAAAAGGAUUGAGGAAUUUUCUCUGCCUCGAGUCCUUGUUUAUAAACUCAAAUCGUCACUGUUUCACACGGAUUAUUUUCAAGGUGACACAACUCAUGUACGUCACCACUGUAGAAGGAGGAGUUACAGUAGUGUGAAUUACUUACUAAAAAACUUAAGUCAUCUCUGGUCUGAGUGCCGUUAAUGGUUUCGUUCGUGGUCCCAACCCAAUCACAGUCUCUAAUUUUCCCUGUUUUCACUAUUUAGAAAUAUCUCAUCUUCACAAAGGUUGGAUCAUUCGCCGUUGCAGGUGACAGGGAGACAUCAAAUCUACUUAAAAGGUUAAAUUAAGAAAAAUAAUUUUUAUGUGAUUACUCGAUUAAUCGAUGGAAUAUUCUGUAGAGUACUCGAUUACUAAAAUAUUCGAUAGUGUAACACUACUUUGUAUGAAUAUCAAACUCUUUGUGAUCUUGAUUGUCUGCUUGGUGCUUCUUUACUGAAUAAUAAUGUUACUGCAGGUCAAGAGUGCAUGGAUUGGUCAGGUUACGAUGAGAGCGCCCUCUGUUGGAUCAUACAGGGAACUACUUCAGGUGGUAUGGUGGGCUCAAUAUGGUAUUAUUUUGAGUUUUUGCAUCUCGUUACAGUUAAAUUAUGAACUUUUUCUCCAGAGUUCAAUUGAAAGUUAUAAUUUCAGAUAAAAAAGUAACCGCCCCUCAACUCCCUCUCUCCUUAUCUGUUCUUAUAGCAGCUUUUUUGGUUCUAUCUGAACAAAAAUACCAGAUUUUGUACAGUUUGAAGGUACGUUGUGUUGAAAAGCUCCCAAGUAUUGAAAUCUGAUAACCUUGUUGCCCACAAACUCAUAAAAGACAUUUGUAAUAUUGCUUAUUUUUAAUUUGCAAAGCCGUAUUAAUCCUAAAGUCUUUCAAAUGACAAGAAUUAGAAACUCAUGAGAAAAACAAAUCCCCGAUCCUCGGUUUUGAAGCCAGACAGUGUUUGGUAUCAGAUGCCAAAUGAUGACAAAAUGAUAAAUCUAUUGGCAAAUUUUACCAACAAAUCCUGCAAUUAACAAACUGUUUCAGCUCAUCAUCGUCUCCAGACUUUCUGUUUCUUCUCCUGGCUCCAAAAACUCGCUUUUACACUCACAGCACCAAAGACAGACCCGAAUCACUGUCUUAGUUUUAUCUACACAAUUCUGAACGCAAAAUAAUAAUGACUCAGCUGCCGGAUGAAACAUGGACACCAGCAGACUCGACAGCUGGACAGCACAAAUGGUAAAUUAUCGCUUUGGCUAACUGCUGACUUCAAAAUUUCAUGAUUUGCAUUCUUGCUCAAUCUCCUGUUGGAAACGAAUCACGCUGUUCGCCUCAGCUUGGUUUCCAGUUUGACUUGAGAAGAAGAACAGAACCGGCGUUUGAACAAAGUGCAACAGACGCAUUAAUUAGGACAACAAUCAAGCACGUUCGGAGGAUCACACGUUCACAGAGUUUUCACUCCACUGGAGAAUUAAAUUUCUGCACAAAAGCUUCACAUCACGGCGAAAAAAAAGCAGCAUUGAAGUUCAAAAGGCAGUUUUUCUCUGAGCUCGGACAGCAGCUGUACAAAAGACUCUUCGGCUCUCUGUGAGAUCUCUACAGCAGGACCUGAAACGGCUGUCAAAGCCGAGUUUACCUGAAGCUGGAAAAACAGGCGAGGAGAAACACACGAGGCAGACACACACGGUCAGAGACAACCGCACAAUUACACACCUGAUUAAAUGCUGCAGUGUUUCUCCACAAAUUGGCUCUUCUGCACAAAACCUUCAGAUAGCAGUGACCUGUGCUGUCCUCAACAAACUAUUAUAAACACCGUGCUGUGACACCGACUAGAUUUAAUUCACCUUUCGGCUCCGUCUUCAAGGCCCGGCGGCGUGUCCUUGGAGAAAAGAAGCUCUGCUGUAAAAUGCAUCAUAUGAGAGCGUCCUCUUAGAAAGCAAUUUCCUGUGGUUCAGCGUAUGGAAACAUCCCAAACAAUCAGGCUUACAGGCACUACUGAGCCAUGUGGACACGAUACAGACUCCAGGCUUUCUUUGAAACCCUCAGACUCCAAAAUCACAUAUUCAAUCACCCGGGGAGGCUACAGUGUCUCUGUGAAGCACACACAGAGAUGGACUGAAGGAAACGAGAUGAAAUCCUGAAAGAGUUUGUUAAAUUCAGAGCUGAAGGUGUGAGUUUUCAAGACGCAAAAGUGCCGACACUGUUACUCUGCAGAAAGAAGAGCCGUUUGACAAUAUGACGAGUUAAAGUUUCAGCUAAACGACGGCCGAUCUCAGCCCUCGUCGUCUGUAUUUGUCUGAUGACGGGAGGUGAUCGAUGCUCCCGGGAACUGAUGCCAACGUUUCAGCGAUUCCAGUCCAGGCCAGGGUUACAAAAAUGAUGUCCAGCCAAGACUCUGAAUUUACAUCUGCAACAUAAACGCUGUCAUUUCUUGGUUUACUGCAUCCUCGGGACAGCGCCGUUCAUCUGCUUCAAGACCCAGGAGGUCACAGGUCAACAGUAGACACACAGACGCUUCACUCUGACUGACUUCAGAGGUGAGGACCUGAGAGAGGAAUCUGUUUUCUCAGGAUCAACGUGGUUCUUUGAUCGUAGGAGGAUUAAAAUGUGAUUCAAACCCAGUCAAACUAAGAAAUGACGGCAGUUUUACUGAGCGUGACAGAAGUCCACCAGGUCCACACAAACGAGAAGUAAAGAAGAAAUGGACGUGCGUGGGAGUGAUGAAAACUGCAGUUCCCUGAGUGUCCACUUGAGGCUGAUCACAGACGCAGCGGACGCUACGCACACGCUCUGCCAAAGAAGAAAUUUUUAGAGCAGAAAUUAAAACUUUAGAUUCAGGUUGGCUGAAAGUUUGGUUGAUUUAGCAUCACCAAUGUGGUUUAUGAUUCUACGUCCACGUAUUAAACAGUCUAUGACGUAAAAACAACUUUAGGGAUCUAUGAAGAAAGUCACAGUAAGUGAUCAGGCGAGCUGAUAAGAAACGAAACUGUAAGUUCACAAAAAAGAUUAAUUUUUUUUUACUUUAUUUGUGUUAAAAUGUAAAUAUUUUUAGUUCGUGAUCAUUCGCUGAACAAGAAAUCCAACAAAGAUUAGACUUUUAAGGUCCAAAGUUUGACAUGAAUCUCCGGAAAUAUGAACAACUAAUGAAUGUUAAUGAAUUUGUUCCAGUGAAGACAGAUUAGUGAUUAGUGCUGUGACGAUCAGUGAAUGUUGUUGAUAAAAAUUGAUCAUGAAAAAAGUUGACAAUUAAUCCAUUGUCGGCUUUUGUUGCCAGAUGUUUUUUUUCCAGUGGGGUGAGGCCUCUUACUUUAUUACAAUCUGCCUAGAGUCACACAUAAGCAAAAGCGUCUCCACCAAGCAGUAGGGUAUUCAAACAUGGCAGCGGCGCCAGCAUCCCAUACAGCAGCUACGAGUACGCGCUUAAAAACUUCCAAAGUUUGGGAACACUUCAGCCGAAAUAAGGCAAAAAAAAAAAAAGAAUAAUUUUCAAGUUUUGCAAAGAAGACGAGAAAAAAGUUGUAAUUAUCCGAUUAGUUGACGAAUUGUUUCAAUAGAUAGUGACUUGUCAACUGUUAAAAUAUUGUUAGUUGCAGUCGUUACUAAUGACUUUUUGUAAUAUUUGGCGCCACAUCAUCAUCAGCAUCAGCUCUCACCAAAGGCUGAUUUCACCCUUUUUCUAAAUGCACAUUUUUAUCACCGUCACUCGACCAAAUACUUUAACGUCGACACUCUUUGAUUAAUUUUUAUUCAAGCUCAACAUUUUAGUUUCUCUUUUACGAGUGAUAUUUAAUUCUGUGUCUUCAAAUGCAGAAAAACUCUAACAUGAUAAUGGCGUCGUAUAUCGACCAUCAGCCGACCCGCUCUCCUGUUAUCAGCAUUUGAAAAACUGACAUUGGUGAAGCACAGUCGAGUGACUCAGGUUCAAAUCUAUCAUUCAUGCAGUGAACUGAUGCAGGGACGACGACAUUGUUAACCAGAGCAGCAGCGCCUCGCCGCCCUCCACCUCACUGAGCUCCUCCAUCAGACGGAAACGCGGUGUCAGACCUCCAAGUGCUGAUUUUCAUCUCAACCACGUCACACUGACGCCUCAAACCACUCCAGCGCUCGCCGAGCUCACGGUCCGAUGACACCAAAUAGACGACAUCAUCUGUUGGGGUGGAGGUGGGGGGUGGCAGCCAUCCAGAGAGCAGCACUUCACAUUUCUGAGGGACUUAUUCAUGAGCGGCGAUAGAAAGAAGCGUGAGAUCGAGGUUCUGUCUGAGGCGUCUGCUGCAGGCGUUACAUCAGCUCAUGACGGCGGGGCUGAGCUCCAGGCUAAACAUUCAAUUUACCGGUCAAUCAGCUCUCCAACCUUCAUGAAAAUUCAGAGCACAGCAUCCACCGAGUCAGAAUAGACCCCCCAAAAAUCUGACAUCUCCAAAAGUAUCAUGUCCUGUCAGACUGAGGGCCUCAGAAUAAUCCAGCGAGCGUAGAACCAGCAUAAAAUCAGGGAGUGGCGUCCUGCACAUACCUUCACCUGUAAUCUCCAGGAUGUGGGAGGGUGUCAUUCAAGCAGCAGGAAGGCAUGAUCAAUGGAUUCUGUUCAGGUAAUCGACUGCAGCGAGCGGCACACAGAAGAGACAGGCAGAGCGGCAGAGCUCCAGGCUACACAUCACAGCGGCUCGCACACAAGACAAGAUGAUGUAUGUUGUGUUUCGGGGUUUUACUGCUUGAGAUACGAAGCACACACCUGAACCGCACAAGAGCGCGGCGCCGUGGAGCUUAUCUCCGUACCGGGGAGAUUGUGGCGGUUUCUUUAAAGGAAGAGGAAGAAAGACAAGAAAAGAAGGGCGUGCUCUGAGACUUUGCAGAUGAAUCCGUUUUGUCUGAUUUUACAUCGCUGUAUCAUAAAGGUUAAGGGGACGACGCAGGCUCACACAAUCCCAAUCUCUUCUGCGGUCAGAUUUCAGCUCACGACUGCCGUGUUUCUCUCUGCGUUAACAAAAAACAUGGAGGACAUCCGCUCUGUUUUCGGUGGAAAUUGUGAUAUUUUUAAAGGUAGCUUGUGGCUUUAACUUCGUUUUGAUAACUUUUCUAGCGACAAAUGAACACUUUGUUUUCAUAGUAUCUGUUCGGUUUAUCUCAAUGAUCCCUUGUUUUUUGGUUUCUUUCAACUUUCUUGCAAAAGCGAUAGUACGUUUUUGUUGCUAUGGUGGUAGCUACGGACGCUACCAACAACGAACUGGAAGGGAGUUGAUGCGCGCCACUGAUCAAGUUGCUCUUGCGUUGAAAAGGAUCAAGUAUGUUGACAAACUCUAAGAGAAAAGAGCAGAAGCUGACCUGUUUGUUGCACCCUGACAGACUGCAACUAGAACUGGACGAUGAUUUCGAUUUUGGCUUCUCAUGAGCAUAAAAACAUCGUAAUUGAUUAAUGCGCCUGGAAAAACACCUUUAAUGCACCCCUGUUACGUGCAACUGCAGCAAGUGUGUGACGUGUGGAUCAAUGCUAUGAGGAGCGAGUGAUUGAAAACGUGGCAGAGAGGCAGAGUUUGGUUGAGAAGAAAGAACAACUUCAGUUAUCCAGAAACAUUUUGGCUUCAAUUUGACGACCGUCGAGCAAAAGGAAAUAGUUUUCAAAGUUUGUCACUGUGUCAUUUCUGCUCCCCAAGACAACACGACCAACUUCAGGGUUUCCACAUAUUGAUCGUGAUGCACCGACACAGCUAAAUAAAAGCUUUUUCUUUUAUUUCCGUGGCUCUAACUCUGACUCAUAUGUAUUUGUGUACACACUGAGUUUUAACAUUGGCAAGUUAUCGUUCGGCAAUCACAUAGCUGAUCAAUUUUUAUUUUUUGACUUAUCAAUUUAUUUCUGACUGUUCUUUUAAGUUAUAUUUAAAGUUAAUACUUAAGUUUUGAAAUCAAUAAAUAAUCGUGUUUAUUAAUCGUGAUUUCAAUUUUAGUCAAAAUAAUCGUGAUUCUUAUAUUCGCCAGAAUCGUCCAGCUCUAACUUCCACUGUUAACUCCUUCUGCUGCUCCGUCCAGUUGUAGUUAAACACAAAUUCCUCUGUUACACCUUUUUCUCGCUGUUUUGGUUUUAGGAAAACAAAUCUGCACAAACAAAACCAAAACACACAAUAAUAAUAAAAUAGUAUUACCUAAAAGCAUCACACCCAGCGCCGCACACAUCCUCACCCUGACUGUGUCAUAUGACCGAACCCUGAGAUCUAAUAACACAUCAAUGAUGCUCACAGGGCCUUUAAAUGUAUGAUAAUAGAGCAGAGUGUUAAGUGAAUGGGAUGUCCAGGGAGCGAUUUUCUGCGGAUCUUUUAAUGCUCAUUAGUUCUGAACUCCCCUAACGAGCACACUUGAUUCUAAAGAAAGUCAUUAAGUGAUUUUCUGAGGAGCUGAAGAGAUCUUUCCCUUUCUUUUCCUCGAUUGUGAUUAUUUUCUUCUCUCUUUGUUCCCACAGCAGUAGAAGAGAAAAUCAGGAUUAUUCAUCCCUCUAAUCCUCUCCUCUUUGCGGCGCUGUAAUCCUAAAGUUCUCCUCCAUAAGUUUGUCGUAUCAUAAAUAAAUCGUGUUGUUUAAAGCUCUUACAGUGAUGAGUGCUGUCGACAGAGGAUCCUCCAUCUUUGUGCAUCCUGGUGAAAAACAACACGAGUGCCGGAGCUGAAGAUAAUAAUAUGUUUGGGCCUGUCUGUGCACUUUCCAGCAGAGCUACCUCACCUCCAAACACACCGCAGAGACUCCGCUCAGAGGUUAGUCUGAACCAGUCAUGACCAGCAGCGAUGAGGGGUUCAGGUUUAGGAUCAAACCAUUUUUCCGGGGUCCUGCUGGGUCAGCUCAAAGAGGAGACACGCAGACCUGGUUAAUCCUGAGCUCGCAGCCGGUUUCCAAGUCAACAAUCAAAACACUCGGGGGUUUAUCGCCGCACGGCUGAAUGACGGACGCUGGAUCCGCUUCUGUCAGUUUUUGUCUCUUUUUGGGGGAAUUUAUUUCUGAAACAACAAUAAAUGAAAAAUACAGAGACUGUAGAGCGGGCGUGUGGAGAGUCCUCGGUACGUGGUCACUGGUUCAACUCCUGGAAAAGGACAACGAGGAAAAAAAGGAACUAGAGAUACACAGAUCCAUUUUUAUCCAAUCCAAUACCUGGGCUGAGCAUAUCGGCUGAUAUCCGAUAUUGAUCCAAUACUACUGAUGAAUGAAUGAACUGUGAGUGAAGGCAGCAGGCUUGACCUGUAGAUGCCAACAGACUACCAGCAAACACAAUGUUUGCAGGACUUCUACAACGAGGAUAAAGUGACAUAGUCCAGGACCCGAGGGAGGACAGUUUAGCGAUGGCGCUACAACACGCUACAGCAGGUCCGUUUGACAAGAAACACUUCUGUUACAGACACUUGUCUUACUUUGUUAAAGCGGUUUACCUGUCCAGCAGAAAGGUUACAGGGUCACCAAGAUCCCCAAGCGUCCCCCAUCGUUUAUGUUGACCCGGCUUUUUGGCUCUUGUCCGGUCUACCUCCGUUUUAAGCGCCCGUUAUUCCUCCAGAGUCUCAGGUAUUUACUUUGUUUUCUUGCUUGUGUCAGCAGUCGUGGCCAAAGGAGGAUUCAGACAAUUUUCCGAACUUUCUGGUUGGUUUCUACUGUCCGAUAUUGUAGCACGCUAACUUUGUUUGGGCUCCUGAACGACACGGGGGAGCAGCGUCUGCCUCACAACCAAUCAGGUUAGAGGAGGUGGAGAACGGCUUUGUUUACAGUCAGAAAGAGCGGACCGCUCAGAAUUUCAAAUGUUGACAACACAGACAUAAGAGAACACAGAGAUAUCGAUAUAUUACCAAAUGUCAUCAAUAACUAAUAACUAUUGACUGAUAUUAAAAGGUUUUUUGUAAAUACACCACAAAAAAGAUGCUUCUUUAACGGAUUCCUGCCUACUCCACCUUUAACACAGAUAUAAAUUUAGUUAAUAUUAUUUAUUGACAAAUAACAAAUUACACAUUAGCACACAGCAAAAAGAAGUCAGACUUCCAUGUGAACAUUUAGUGCAAAAGGACAGACAGACAUAAAAUAUGGAGCGAACAGAAUCGCUGUGUUUGAUACUAAUAAAAAAAAAAAAAAGUGGAUCGGCGUCAUUCAUCAGAUAUCUGAUCCAGUUAAUUUGUCAAUAUCAGAGCCGAUAUCAGAUCCAAAUAUCUGAACGGUCCAUCCCGAAAAGGGACUAUUUUAAAACCACAACCUCUGCAUGCAUGUCAGUCUGUCUUUGUGCUUCAGUCGAUCGAUGUAUGAAACAAGAGAAAGUGCAGCCGCCUCAUGUUGUGAUAAAGUCUGUUUUUCUCGACAUGUCGUGUUGUGUUGUUUUCCCUUUAGCAGGAAGUGGUUUCGUCCUGAUUCAGGUCUUGUACACGGCCCCCUAUAGGUGUAAUGACAGCUGUCUGCUUAAAAACACACACUUUAGGUCCAAAUGGAGGUCUUUGUGUUCUCAGUGACUCCUCAUUUCCAUCUCAUUAACCUCAUCGAGGGUUUCGUCUCCAGCUUUGAUAAAUAUGACAAUAAGCAGACGCCGCGUGUGACGAGGGGAAGCGAUAAAAAUCUUGCUUUACAUUUGUAUCGCGUGAGUGAUCCCUUUGUGGAUUCCUGAGAGCUCGCUGGAGCUGCAGGUCUUUAACAUCUACUGCAAAUGUGAAUUGAGUACCUUCCCCCUCUGUGAAUCACAUUCAUCUGAAUAAAUAGAUAAAUACAGGAUCUGCUCAUAAAGAGGAAAUCUUAUUUUCCUGUCGGUGAGUGAAGCUGCUGAUCUCAGUGACAAGUUUUCAAAGACUAUGAAAAGAUAACGCACUGCACUUUUACCUAAAAUAAAAAAAUGCAACGUUCUUUCAACAUGUUUGGUUUUAUUCAAGCGGGAGCGGGACAGGAGAGGGAGUAAUUUUGAGUGGGAGCGGGAUGGGAGUGGGAGUCAUUCUACGGGAGUGGGACGGGACAGGAGUGAAAAUCCGCUCCCGUGUCGUGCUCUAGUCUGUACGUCUGAGUUUGUUGGAAGAGCUUCAUAGAGAGAAACCGCCGCCUCUCAAAUCUUAUUGAUUUUCAGUGAAACAGGAGCCGACAUCAUCUUAAAUGUGGCUCAUUUAACCUCUAACGGUGACCUUUGACCCUCCUUGUGACUGUUGGUUUAACAGAUCGAUACACAGAAGAGACGAUGCAAAUAAAGCAGGAUGGAUGUUUAGAUGAAUAUUCAAUAUCUGUGACCCGGCACAUUGCGACAGACUCGUCUGUGUUUCGUAUUUGUUUGCCGAGAAGUUUCUUUUUUUUUAAACUUUUUAUUUAUUUACAGAACAUGAGGUCAUCAUGGGUGAUACAGCUGAAUAUUCGAAUAUUAUAUAAUAUUAAUAAUGUGAAUAUUCUUUUACACAUAGAUACAUAUAUACAAGCACACAUUAAUCAUAGCAAAUGUCUCACUAUUCAAGGUGCAUACUAUUUUCGUUUCAGCAUUUCAAACAUUUCUCCAACUAAAGUCUCAAAAGAAAAGUAAGUCUCUCCAUACAAUGAAUUUCUUGGAGAAUCCCGUGCCGCUGGUUCAGUGCUGGGGAAUCUGGUUGUAACCACCUUCUUGUUAUGGCUUUCCUACCACUUGCCAAAGGAAUCUUCAACAGGUACCUGUCCUUAUGUAGGUCUGUUUCUGGGAUUUUACCGAGAUAUAAAACAACGAAAGAAAAGUCUAAAUCCACCCCCAAUAUUUAUUUAUCUCGGUUGACACCUCCCUCCAAAAUGACUGGAUUUUCGGACAGGCCCAAAAAAUAUGAAAGUGAUUAGCCAUAGGGGUUCCACGUUGUCUCCAGCAGUAGCCUCGGUUCUGUGUGCCUGUUUGCAGUGCUGUUAAUUUAGGGGUUAUGAAAAAUCUCACCACAUUCUUCCAGCCAAACUCUCUUAAAGAUCUUGAAUUUGCAGUUGUCGCUUGUGUCUCACACAUUUCUAUCCAGGUCUCUUCUGAUGUUUGUAUUCCUGACUCCUUUUCCCAUUUUUGUUUAAUGGAUAACGUAGAAUGAUUUUUAGAGGCUUGCAUACCCUUGUAUAAUCUUGAGACCAACUUUUUAUUAUCUUUCUUUUUAUAUGCAUUUGCCGAGAAGUUUCAGGUAUAGAAAUAAGUAGUUUCUCAUUUUUAUCAACGCGAGUUUUGUGCAGAAGAAGAAGAGAUUCCAUUUGGCAGGAUUCACAAACUUCCACCUCGACUCUGACACAUGAGCGUUAGCCGAAGCGUGCAGCUGGAAUACGACUUGCCAGCUGCUGUCAACAAGGUAAAAAAUUGAAAUGGGCCUUGUCUUAUCUCGCUGCAGCAGCAUGAACACGAGGCUACAUCUCACCCAUCUCAUACGUUUCUGUGAUCGUUGCAAUAUCUGCGAGUUUCUGCCCCACCAAUCCUGACCGCCCUGCAGCGACUCCACGUUAACUUGCUGACUGAAUCAACUUGAAACAAAUGCAGAAAAACAAGCCUCGCCUGGAGGGCAGGAGGAGAGUGUUUAUCCUGCAGGCAUUCCUCCUCUCAGAUAACAGGAGCAGAGUUUGGAGGAUGCCGGAGUAUUUUACUGCAGGAUUCCUUCUUAAUGUACAGAGCUGUGUGUGCCGCACCGCUUAAUCCUGGAAAGAUGGCUUCAUUAAUCCUGUUUAUCCCUCUGUGUGUCGCUGCAGCUGAAUGCAGGAGCUCCAAGUAACUGAUGGGAGUUGUACCGCUGAGUGACAGGAUUACAACCCCACCUGUCCACGCCGUGGAUUCACUAGAGGGGUGUGUCCAAAGAAAAAAGGAAGCAACAGUACUCUCUGUGCACGAUUAUUAGAGUAGAUGCUUUUUUCCUCUUGAAACAUGAAGUAGGUCUGGGAGUCGAGUCUUUGAUCAUCUUGGAUCUUUCCAGCCCAUCCUUGUAUCCCACCUCCACCUUACUAGAGUCUGAGUCAGAGUGGAGUUCUACGCUCAUUGCUGAUCCAAUCAUAGGCCUGUCUGUCUGUCCAUCAAGACUCACUCUCGUCUCUUCAGUCCAUAAAACCUUUGAAAAAUCCGUCUUCAGAUAUUUCUCAGCCCAGUCGUGUUUUUUCAGCUUCUCUGUCUUGUUCAUUGGUGGUCGGGUUUCAGCCUUUCUUACCCUGAAAAUGUCUCUGAACACCGUGGACUUCUGGACUCUCCAGGUAGGUUGCAGCUCUGGGGGAUAAUGGGUUCCUGGUAGAUCCACUUCAGUUCUUCUCAGAUCUUUGGCUGUUUAUUUGUGUCUUUUUCUCUCAACAAUUUCUUGCAAUCUUUUUGGAUAGUUAAAACAGACCAAUUGAUAGUUUUGUGGUCUUGUCCAAAAAUCUUGGCAAAUUCAUGAUCUUAUCUUAAUGAUAUGAUCAAAAUGUUCACUUGCUUAUUUAGGGCCCUUUGAUUUCCACAUUAACGGAAUCGCGGAAUAGGCCAAUAACAAUGGAAUCUACUGUUAAUGUUGAAUCACGUGGAAAUUGGCAUAAUGUGACUGAAAUACUGUUAUUGCAAGGAGAAGGAACGUUUGUCCAGGGAAAUGUUCUCAGGGACCACUCAUUAAUGGCAAUACCCAUACAUCUUCACAAGCACUCCCUCCUGAUAUAACAGCAUGUCGAAGUGGCGACCAGAGACGGCUGGGCUACAUCUAUAAAAAAAACGUCAAAACUCUUCUCUGUCUCCAAAGUACUAGAUCCAAGCAAUCUCCAAAUGACUUUUACAGCUGUAAAUGUAGGAAUAUUUGCAUUUUAUUAAUCAACAUUUUAUUUACUGACACUAAAAGCAUACACCCUAAGGUAGUAAAGAAGUGUAAAAGGUAAAAAAUGGAAGAGAAUUUGGAAAAAUUAAAACAGAUUUCAUAUUGCCCUAACUAAUUAGUUGUGCCCACAGUGUAUGUCCCUGUGUGCUUCAUCUCAACACUUGCAUUAACGCACGUCUUCUAUAAAUGUCAAACAUUAUAAGUUGUAAUCCAUCUGUACAAACAAUAAUCUAUUUGCUGUUUUAAGUUCUUAAAACGCUCCAAACAUGGUUUAUAUCGUGUCGUUAGACUUUAAGAAAAAUCUCUUCUGUUGAAAGAUCUCUAAAGUGUCCGUCGAAUAAACCAAAAGUUGUUUGUACCGUCGGCUUUUUUAAGAGUAUUUAGCAACAAGAAUCUGGAGGCCGAGUAUCUCUGAGAACAAGAGAAAACCUCAUGAAUGGGAAGUGAAAUGUUUUCUUUGAGCGCAGGUCAUAAAUGAUAACAGUGUGAAUGAUGAGAUUAAGUUGUUAGCGGUUCGAAGAUUGCUCAUGAGCUUGAAUGGCCUGCCAGGAUUUCAGCCCACGCUGUAAAAGGUGAAGGUGUUUGAGGAGUGAAGUGUUUUUUCUUGGAUCGGAUAACAAAAUGUUUGAGUUUAAAAGAUGUUCUAAUUGAAUUUUUCGCCCUCUCCGAUAUCCUGACGGUUGACUCACCUUAAAAAUCAAAUACAUCAGUCAAUAAUCUUGUUAAGUGCAUCACAUUAGUUAUGCCGAGAUUAAAAGAGAAAGAUUGAAGCCAGUGUGGGAAGCUUACAAAACGAAUUUCAAAAAUGGUGGUAAACCUUGAUAAUUUCUUCUAAAGUACCCUCUGUGACUCAGUGGCAUUUUUCCAGAAGGCUUUUCAAAGCUUAAAUUUCUCUUGAAUCUCUGAGUCUCUUUGUGGUUUGUUGCUGUGAAAGCUGGCAGUGUUGCCGGCGGCUGUGUGUCAUGCCAAGCAGAGGAAUCCUGCCGGUUUCGAAAUCCUCAAAAUCUCAGGUCUAAAGGUUAGAAAUGUGGGUUUGUAACCAGGAGAUCCUGAUUUCACAAGCACCGCAGCAGGCUGAGGGGUUGACUCAGUGAAAUGCAAAACUAAAUUCUGACAGGUAUACGCUUCGUUAAGAUUUUUUUAGUCGGCGUGGAUAUUUUGGAAACACCAGCUGCGUUCUCAGUCAAGUCCAAGAAUCGCUGCCAGCAGCUCUGAGGAGAAACGGCUCAAAGGUGGCCAUGAAAGAAAGUCAAUAAAAAGUUUAAAGCGAAUCUAUUUGAGGAGCAGAAGAAGAAGAAGAACAGACAACUUUUAUAUCUGUGACAUCCUGAACUGUAGACUCAGCAGUCAGAUUAUUGAUUUGUCUUCUUCUGAACAUUGAUCGUUUUUGGCAAAUUUAUGCAAAAUUAAAAGUAUCCUGUUUUUACUUGCUGUCGGAGAGUUUAACCACACAAGAAAUAUUCAAAUCUGUGGCUGCCGGUUAUCUAGGGUGACCAUACGUCCUCUUUAACCUGGACAUGCCCUCUUUAUUGGGGUCUGUCUGGGUUUGUCCGUAUUUGUCCGGGGACAUUAAUACAAAACCCAAUUCCAUUAAAGAUGGGAAAUUGCGAUAAACGUAAAUAAACACAGAAUACAAUGAUUUGCAAAUCCUUUUCAACCCAUAUUCAAUUGAACACACUACAAAGACAAGAUAUUUAAUGUUCAAACUCAUAACCUUUUUUUUUUUUUUUGCAAAUUAUAAUUAACUCAGAAUUUCAUGGCUGCAACACGUGCCAAAGUAGUUAGGACAGGAGCAUGUUUAUCACUGUGUUACAUCACCUUUCCUUUUAACAAAACUUUAUAAACGUUUGGGAACUGAGGAGAACUAGUUGUUGAAGCUUUGAAGGUGGAAUUCUUUCCUAUUCUUGCUUGAUGUACAGCUUCAGUUGUUCAACAGUCCGGGGUCUCCGUUGUCGUAUUUUAUGCUUCAUAAUGCGCCACGCAUUUUCAUUUUGUAUGUACCUUUCGGCAUUAAUGUUGCCUUCACAGAUGUGUAAGUUACCCAUGCCUUGGGCACUAAUGCACCCCCAUACCAUCACAGAUGCUGGCUUUUGAACUUUGCAUCGAUAACAGUCCGGAUGGUUCUUUUCCUCUUCGCCCGGAGGACACUACGUCCACUAUUUCCAAAAACAAUCCACUUUCCACCUUGCAUCAGUCCAUCUUAGAUGAGCUCGGGCCCAGAGAAGCCGGCAGCGUUUCUGGAUGUUGUUGAUAAAUGGCUUUGGCUUUGCAUUGUAGAGUUUUAACUUGCACUUACAGAUGUAGCGACAAACUGUAUUUACUGACAGUGGUUUUCUGAAGUGUUCCUGAGCCCAUGUGGUGAUAUCCUAUAUUUUUUUGCCACCUUUCCCAGCUUCAAAUGUCUGCGGUUUUGUACAAAAGUUUCGAGUUUGUGUCACGUGGACUUACUGAGUUAGAAGUGCGUGAAAGACACUCGAUCCGACCCAAAAAACUCUCAUAAUGAAGUCCAUGUAACUCCAUGACUCCACCCUGUUGUAGUCGUGUCCUCUUUUUAGGAAGUACGAAUAUGGUCACCUUAAGUUUACCUUGAUUCAAAAGUGUUUAAAUCGGCACGUUAAACGGCUAAAACAGCUUCAUUUUUGUGCACCAGGGCAGUUUUUUAGAAAAAUGUUCUGUGACAGUGAGUGGAGAUCAACAGGCGGCUAAGUCUUCGAAGACGGAUUAACAGAAGUCAUCAGAGCGUCUGUUAACUUUUAAUCAAGCCAUCAUUUGUGAUCAAUACUCCAUCUGCGAGAUCCCAACAUGAGCUGUGAAAGUGUUGCGUCUCACUUUCGCUCAAUCCAUCUCUGGUUAUUGAUACGAGCCCGAAGAGAAAGAAAGUGAGAGGAAACUCCCCGGGUGAUGGAACCGUGGCGAGGGCGAGCUGUUGGAGGGCGGCGAGAAAACGAGGAAGGCAGAAACAUUAAGACAAAGAGCUUCUCUGAGUCGUCAAUAACCCCGAUGGACGCUGCGGCGGCACUGUCCGAACACUUCUCCACUCCUGAAAUAUUAUCUGCACUACUCCAACAUCUACUUGAAGACACGCUCCCCCUCCCCCUCUGCAAAGUCAAUUAUUAUUGAUUCUGCAUUUGAGCAAGCAUGUGUGUCUCCUCAGGUGGAACCGAAUUACUCUGAAACACCCCGGGAGGCCUGUGCUCCUCGCAGAAGGCUGAGAACUAUUAGCUGACUGCACUGGGAAAAUAAAACUAAAUUAAGGCAAAUAAACAAUAAUAAAAAGGCUGCUGUUGCAAGGCGAGGAGGAUCAGUCAAGAGUGGCCGACAAGGCCCGCAGUAAUGUUAAACACUGGAUCAAUGUUUAUGCUGGAAGAGACCGCUCCACGUUGACCUGGCGCACGCACCUCCAGAAGAAGAAGUGAUGAAGUGAGCAGCUCACAGUCUGUCCGAUAAUUAAAAUAUGUUGACCUCAUUUCACUUCUUGAAACUUUAUUUCGAUCUAUUCAGCAAAGAUGACUCCAAACAGUGAUUUUUGUGUACCGAUAAACCUCUGGUCAUCUGGAAUCAUAUCUAUCCUAGGACCACCCAGAGAGGAAAUCGGCACUGAUCAAUAUCCAAUUCGGAUCAAAUCAAGUCACGCCUACUAAUGCUGAGUUCAAGUUACCUCAGAAGUCAGAUGUUGGAGCUGGGAAUGACGUCACACAAGUUCCCAGCUUUUCAAUUACCAAGUCAGAAAAAAGCAAAAUUGGAGGCGGAAACAAGAUGUUGCAGAAGGACUGUGUAUUUGUCCAAAAAUUGCUUAUAUUCUGACAAGGCAAGUGCUAAAAUCACUUUCAUAGAUGUAGCCAUCUUGUUUCUACCUCUGAUUUUUCUUUUUUUCCAUUUGGUAACUCAUUCCCAGCUCCAACAUCUGCUGUCCGAGGUACCUUGAACGCAGCAUAAGUCUGCCCGAUAUCUGAGCGUCAUGAUUGAUGACCAGUGAACCUUCAAGGCCCAUGUGGCCGCGGUUUGCUGGUCCUGCCGUUUUGCUCUUUAUACCAUCAAGAAGAUCAGACCCUUCCUGACUGAGCAUGCAACACAGAUCCAGAAUCUGUGUUGGCUCUGGUAAUCUCAGGUACUUACUACUGCAACUCCUCACCGCCAGGUUAGGCUGGGCAAUUCCUGAUUCCUGUUCCUAACAAUUGUCUCUUCUGAUUGUUUUGGUUGAUGAUGGUUUGAUUGUUGAUAGUGUAAAUGAGGGCUCUAACCAGAGUUCUUUUUUCAUUUGUUUACCGCUUCAGUGUUAGCAGAAGACAGACAUCAUUUGUUGUUUUACUAUCUGAUUCUGACCAGUUAGAGGACGACCGGUGAAGCAUGUCAAAGACGGGGCACUCAGUUAUUUCUACUCCAUGAAUCAGGAGGUGUUUAUCUAAUCAUGUUGGUCGUGUAUCUUCCUUUGGCAGAAAUAGUUUUUUCGCAGUUGGUGCUCUGUGCUACUCUGUCCUCCUCUUUUGAAUUCAAAUGAAGCAAGAUUUUAGAGCGUUUUUUGUGGUACAUGUUCAGACGAGCGAUGUUCUUGCUAGUGGAAAAGCAGAGAACAAACUAGUGCAAGCACUCGGAACCAAAACAAAGAAUCGAAAUUCAAAAAUCUCCUCAAUGGUUCCGUAACAGGACAUUAGGAACUGAUUCUAGGUACCCAACCCUACUGGCAGACCUCAAGUCACUCACCAAACUCUCUUCUUCUGUUGCCCCUAAAUGGUGGAAUGAAUUACCCAACUGUAGCUGUACAGCAAUUAUUUAUUACAGUGUCUAUUGUUCUGCAUUAUAUCUACUUACCCAGAUCAGGGGAGGUCAACGGUUUUGGUAAAUCUCACCAGACAAGAAAUUCCAUCAUAACCAAUAAAAUCCUCCUGAUACGAUUUAUCACAAAAUCUUAACAGGCGAAUUUCUGAUUUGAGGACCGAUCAGACCAGACUAAACCAGAGCGCUCUCUCUCUCUCUCUCUCUCUCUCUGUCUCUCUCUGUCUGUUGGUUUUCAGAGUCUCUUUCUUUGUGGGUGUCGUCAUUAGCAGAUCUGCUGCUGCAGGUCGGAGCGGAGUCGGGGGGUCAUCUGCCAAAUCUGUUCCGUGAUUAUCGCUGUAAUUUGAGCGGAGUAAAAAGAGGAUAAUCUGGGUCAGAUCUCCCCCUCACUUCUUGGAAAUUGUCUGUCAUCACAUAUGCAUUCAAGACGGCCCACGCAUAUCAAACGGGACAUCUUGAGGCACGAUUGGUCCACUCCAUUCAAGAGGCUGAUUAUCAGACAGAAAUCUUCACGGCAGCAGAAUCAAACCCUACACUAGAGAUACAUCAGACACACUUUCUCAUUUAUUGUUAAUGCAAUCAAAGGGCCCUCUCUCUCCGAGCAGACACUCGAAUCAACAUGUGAAGUUAAGAGGAAGGGAAUCAGAUGUGUCGUGGUUUAAGAGAACGUGUGCUGAGAAGGCAGAAAGAGGAGCGGGCGCUGAAAGCUCCCACUGAUUGGUUAUUUCAGCGAAACUCUGCAGCUCGGCGACGAGAUAAUGAGCUCUCUUUGAUCAGAGGAGAAUUGUUGUAUAUGAUGAUCGUCUUUCUGCGUGUGUGUGUGUGUAAAGACGUGUGCGUGUGUGUGUGUGCCAGCAACAGGGCCUGAUGAAUAUUCAAAGAAGAUUGUCUGCCAUAAUAUCCCUGAGGAGCAGCUGGCUUGUUGUGAAACACACGGGAGGCCCGCCACGCAACUUGUCACGAUCUCCUGAUUGUGGAUCGGGAAGAGGCCUUAAAAAGGUUACUCUAGGUCACACACAGAGAGCGAGGGCGAGCGAACAGGUCGGGGGAGAGAGAGAGAGAGAGACAUGGACUGUCAUUGUGGAGAAUCUCACGGAUGUUAUAAAGAUAACAGUUUAUCAUCAGUUUGAUUUGCUCUGGAUGACUGAAAGAAAAUGAUAAUUGCAUGCUAAUUACUUUCUAAAGAGUAUCAAUUAAUCAUUUAAACAGAAACAACAACAGCAAAAACAUUCAUCUCUCUCCAGUUGAGAAAUUAGCAGGAGUAAUUGCUUUCUAUUUGGUUUUGCUAAUUAAAGAAUAAAAUAUCAGUAAAAUUGGGUUUUGCUUGUUUCUGUACUGCUUUACUGAACCGGCGUACGACCCGUUUUUUCCCGCCACACGACACCCUCUGGGGGUUAACCGCCACAUUAGAUUUAUCUCCAGGAUGCAGCAUCCUCUGUUUUUUUUUUAAUUAAUCCUUGUUUCAUAAAAAAUAAUAAUAAUGCUGGGUGGAGAUAAGGGACUGGGGUCUGAGAAUGCAUCACACGGCCCAAAGCCUAUUUGUCGUGUCACGAGCGACUGUCCUCGUUCAAGCUGGCAGAGAAACACAGGGCGCUCGCUGUAAACCCUCCAAAUGUGCACGCUGGACCACCUUUUAUCUGUUCAAUCCACUCACAGCCAACCCCGCGCUGGUAAAUAUUCCAUAUUUCUCUCCCUGGCAUCAUGUGGGAUUUAUUUUUCUGUUUUUGCACUCUCCGAAGUCAGCACAUUAAAAAGUGCAGCAGCACUCCUGAGUGAUGUUCGUGUGUGUCCUCCCAAAAGUCUUUCCAAAGCAGCAGCUCCACUCGACCAAGACCAUCCAUCUCCACUCAUAAUGUGCAUUUAAUAAGAAUUAAAUUGGCGGGUGGAUGGAUGUGGUUUGAGCCGUGUGAUAGUGACAGUUUGACUUUUCAUGGCUUUGAUAUCUGGACGACAGGCGCCUGUAAGGCCUAAUGGGGCCGUUCCACCAGCAUCUGUUAAGAAUGCUUCAUUGAGUUUACAAUUAGUGAGGGCCACGGUUCACUGACGGGCUGUGUGACCACUCAGAGGGUGAUAACUCUGAUAAAGGCUCACGGGUUUACUCGGAGGGGGAGGAAGAGUUCGGCUUUUAUUCUGUUAGCAGCAAAUUAAAGUGUGAAAAACAUAUAAUGAUUCGUCUGCUCUUUAAUGAUGACCGAAGGACGGAGAGGAGACCCACACAGGUCGAUCUGUCGGAGGAACAAACAAACUGGCUUGAUGUGAAGUGUUGAUAUGGAGAUACGCUGGAUUUAGAGUCGUUUCGAUUCCGAUACCAGUAGCGGAAAAUGCUGUAGGGCUGUCAAAAUUAACACAAAGGUUCAAAAGUAUUUACAUAUCUAGUUUACACAGCUUGCACAUAACUUCAUCUCUCAGCAUUUUUCUGUCUGCCGUGUUUGCCCAAAAUCCGAAGAAUUUCCAAACGGAUCUUCUAAAGUUCGUUGGCGUCCAGACCACUCUCUCUGAGUUUGGCUUCAAACAUCACGCCAUCUCUCUCUGCAUGUGACACAGACGGCUCCUGUGAUCUGUCCCUGACCCGUCGUUACAGUGCACUCACCCACUGUUUUUUUCUUUUUUUCUCAGUUUUUCUCUCAUUUUAUUAAAUACUGGAAUAUUAAUUUUCUCAUUUUUCUCUGUUUUUUUCUUUAAAUAUUCGAGUAUAUAUUCAAAUUUAGAAUAUUCGUUGACAACCCUAAAAUGCUGGUAUCAGUAUCGGCGAGUACUAGAGUCCAGGCACCGAUGCGAUACCACAUACAUUAUUAAAUUAGUUAUUUAGCUCCGUUAGCUCUGACACAGUUCUUCUUUGCCGAUCUAAAACUGCAUGGAUCACAUGACCGACACAGUUGACGAGGCUCAGACCCACUUUAAUUUAAAUAAAACAACAACAUAUAUUCAUAGAUUUAUUUACCACUAUUUUAUUCUGUUCUGUUUAAAUCCACUUUUUAUUUAAAAAUAUUGCGGCUGCACUUUAAUGUUUUUUUUUUUAAAUAAUUAUUCCUAAAUUUAUUUAGUUAAAUUAUAUUUGCUGAUUUUUAUACUAUCUAUUUAAAAAUAAAUGGCUUAAAUUUGCAGUGCUUAUUUGUGUUUUACAAAGGAUUUAACCUGAGCUUGAAUUUACCACAAUAAUAAUCAUUUCAGUGUAAAAAAGGCCUGGUUAAUAUAUAUAUUUUUUUAUAUAACAUACUGAUAUUGGACUCUGGUUUCUCUGGAGUUUUGUUGUUCGGGCUGACGGAGUAAACAUGAGGAACAUGAGCAGAGAUUUUCAUCCAUGACAGACUCGUCCAAUUUGGCCCCAUAUGUGUCCGAGAUGAUCGCCUUUAUGAUCCCCAAGCAAAGCAUGCUGGGAAGGGGGGUCAGAUCCCUGUGACCCUGUGUGGACAUGAUGGAUUUGGAGCUGGAUGGAUGGACGGACACUGACAUUGAGUUUACUCACUGUGAAGUCCAAGAGUGGAGGUGGGAGACUGUUGUGUUUUAAUUGAAAUGACAGCUUGUCCAUCUUUGAGUCGUUUUUUUAAACGCACUAAAAUCUGUGUUUUAUAAACCGUAGAGUUAAGAGGAAGUGAGCGAGGAGCUUCUGCGGUUGUUCAUUUAUCUGAUCUUCUUGUAUUAAUUAUUUCAAAGUGUCUUUUUAUCUCAUCUCUGCGAACGGCGCUCACACAGAUUAGUGCUUUUGACGGGCCUGACAAUAGGAGCGAGCCUUGAGAGUUAAAGAAACUCAGAGUGACGAAGGAUGUUUAAAAAUGUACAAGAGGAUAAGAGGGAGAGAGCACGGCUGAUCAGCACUUCCUCUUUGUCUGAGUUAAUGACAGGCAGAAAAAGGAGCAAAAAUAAACACCUAACAAUAGGAUAUUAAAACUUUGAUCAAUAAUUAAUGUGCUUUGAAAGUCUCUGUUUCUCUUAUUCUUUUCAAAACAGAGCUGCUUCUCUCCAGAAAACACUAAACGAAAAGACGAAAUGGAUUUUUAGAAGUGAAGCAAACACAAAAUGAAAACACGAACGAGACAAAGCAGCACAAAUCAAACCUUUUCAAACAUUCAGAAAAACAAACCAAACACAGUCAGAAGAUCCGCAGCUUUUCCACUGAUCACCAAACACAGAUCAGAGACAGAAACAAGUGGUCCAAAUUAUGAUCUAAUCCCAAAGCCUGGUCCAGACCAAGUCCAAAACACUUCUGAUCAGCAGGGAUGUGGUGACUCGGGGGUCCCACUGUCCCACAUAAAGAUAACGGCCGUCCAGUCAGAACUCGAAAGAGAUUAAGCUUCUUGUAGAGCUGCACGAUUUUGACCAGAAUUAUAAUCCAGAUUUUUUUCUCUGAAAACUUGUUUUUCGAUUUUGAUUUUUUUAUUCAGUGACAACUUCACCAAACUUCACUUUAAUAAUGAAAAGUUUUCUAUCAUCUCUUUAAAUAAAACCACUGAAAACGAUGUAGUGCAUAUGCCAUGACAGUAAGUGGCGCUGUAACGGUGUAAGACAGAAGAAGAGUACAGAGCAUGAGUAUAAAGGUUGUUUUUGGCGCCAUAAAAGAGUUACUCUGUGUGUCACAUGAUCGUUUCCAGAGAUGCAGAUAGACAUCCACACGGAGAUGAAAUGGUCGUCGUUUACAGAUUUAUUCACUCUCUGACCCGUUUUCAAAAAGUACCGUUUACAGUCACCUGAAACGCCGAUAAGACAAAAAACUUUUGCGUUUACUCCUAAAUUCGUUUCCAUGGUGACGGGUUUAUCCCGCCUUCAGACAGACUUUGCAGCGGGGAGUGGUUUACUCUUCAUCUGAAACUGUGAAGUCGUACCAAUUCAACACAACUGACUCGCUCUUGUCCUAUUUAACCACAAAAUUAUCGCCUUCUUUUGCAAACGCCAUGUUUGUUUACACUGGUGUGUGUGGGAACUUGGACUCGAUAGAAAGGAAAAUCGUUUGACGAAAUUUUUUUUAACAUCGUCAUAAUCAAAUAAUUCAAUAACGGUUUAAAAUUGGUUUAUAGUGCAGCCCUAACUCCUUGAUGCAGAUGCAGAAAAAAUGCAUAAAAAUAAACUGUAUGUUAUCCAGUGAGGGACCAGGUUAGCAAACACAAACUCAGGGAGGGUAGCUAGGUACCUUUGCAGUGACGAGACAGUUUGUGGUCUGAAAUAAUGAGUGUAACAGAGCGAUCAUGUAUCAGGCAGUGUGUGAAAGUCUAUCCUGUAUCAUAAUGACCCACAGCAGCUCUGAUAGAGCUCGAUGUGGACCAGCCGAGCCGGCCGUCAAGUUUUGGUUCACUGAGUCCUCCUCCAGUCUGUCCUAGUCCCAGUUUAAGAACUUGGACCAGAGUUCAAGCUGGUUGUUUUUUUAUCUCUGGAGGCCCAAAAAUGAGGGUUAAGGCGAAGGUGACCGUACGUCCUCUUUUACCCGGACAUGUCCUCUUUUUUGGGGGGCUGUCCGGGCUCUAAAUGUCCGUAGUUUUGUAUGAGAGUUUCGACUUCGUGUUACGUGGAUUUACUGAGUUAGAAUCUCAUAAAAGACACUUGAUCCAACCCGAAAAACUGUCAAAAUUACCUUAGUGUGACUCUGUGACUCUGCCCCCACGUAGUCGUGUCCUCUUUUUGGGAAGUCAGAAUGUGGUCACCCUAGUUGAGGUUGUACCACUUUAAAUGAUGUAAACAAACAAACAGCUGAUUGGCGGUGAGGUUUGUCAGCACGUAAACAUGAUCGUUACACCGAGGAGCGGCUAAGACGCGCUCUUCUUUGCUCUUCUUUGCUCUUCUUAUCCGUCUUUGCUCUGUCCCUCACAGCGCCGGCUGAGAAGUGAUAUCUUCAGGUCGGAUUCUGGUUGUUGGUCCUCCUGCAGAUUAAUUUCGCUGAAGUUCAAACAAGCCUCCGUGUUUUCAGACGUCUAAUAUUGAUAUUCGGGACCUCGGCGUGUGUUUUGUUUGCUGCUCCAUCUCUCCGUCAUCCUUAAUUAACCGAGUCCGUGGACAAAUAGUCAGAGAGAAGACCUAAUUUACCCCCCCACUCCUCCUCCCUCUGACCCUGUGGGUGUGGAGAGAUCUGCAGCAUAUUGAAGCCCCGCCCCCUGCUGACAUCAGAACCAGUGAAGUGAAACAAGGCCUGUGCGCGGUGAGAGCAGAGAGCGAGCACUUCAUCUCUCACCUCAAAAUCAUUAUUACCUGAUUAAGUGUGAUUAAGAGAAGAUCAUUAGCAGCUGCAUGUCCUGUCAGUAAUGAUUACUGUGACGGGUGCGUUAGAGCCGAUGAGCUCAUCUGCAGGCUUAGCCAGUCUAAUGAUUAGGGAAGCAUUGUUUAGCCGAGCCUUCAGAUGAAAGGUGGACUCGCUGCUGCUGCCGUCUGAGCGGAAAGUCAGAGCGAGGUGAGCGUCCCACCGCUGCAUCCUAAUGAGCCAAAUUGUUCUACAAGGAGGAUGACAUUGAACACAUUUUAAGUCCAAUUCCCCGACAUUGUAAACUUGUGUUAACUUGUGUUAAAGCUACUUCCUAUAACACCGAUUAUUCAGUUUAUUCAGGAGUUUAAUCAGAGGGUUAUCAAUACCACAUUUAAGUUCAGGAAAAGGGAUGAUUCAGAGGUGUUAACCCUCAGAACUCUCAGCUUUAUUUUGAUAUUUUUGGUCCGCCUUGGUGUUUUUUUAUUAUAAAAAUCUAUGUAGCAGCUCUGUUCUCUCAAGCUGUCAGUUUAUGGAGCAAAAAUGAUGUAAAAUAAAUGUGACAGACCAACAGUAAUUUGCUCAAAAAACACAUAAAUCUACAGUGACCAAACCUUUUCUCACCUGACCAUCAUUCUCUCAAGUCUUCAGGAGAAGAAAUAUUGGGAUUGGAACAAACACACAACAGAGACUAUUGACAUAUUUACACUCAUUCUUCCAGAUGUUUUUGACUAUUUACAGCUGUUUUUGCCACUCCUUGAAGCAUCAAGGGAACAAUAGAAGAAGAAUAUGAGACCAUUUAAUCGGUCGAAACUUUGACAGUAAAAGACGUCAUUAAAACAGCUCGUCAAACCCACAGACAUAAUAUACGUAGACGCCUCAAAGCCUGACGCUGCCUAUUGGAGCUCUCAUAUCAGCACGGCCGCCAUCUUGGAUGGGUCCCCCAUGCGCCUCCAGUGCAUUAAGGUAGGUAGGAAUAUCCAACCAUAUUGAUAAUAACUCUCAGAGUCUCUGCCUGAUUUUCACAUUGUUUGUUUUUUUUUUUUACAACGGCAGGGAUGUAGCAAUAAUACAGGACAAUGUCACUCAUUAAAAAUACAACAAAUUAUUUUCAAACCUAUUUGUGAAUUAUAAUUCUACAUGAUCUGGUUUCAAUACUGCGUUGGAUUUUUCAACCACAGAGUGCCAAAAAAACGGCCGUAGUUCUCCGUUGACCCCGUUUGGCUCUUGAGCGAACCUGGAGUUGGGAGACCAAUCCAAUAUGGCGGCGAUGCUGGAUAACGUUCCAGAAUGUAAUGAGGCGUCUACGUGUAUAAUGUCUACAGUCAAACUCAGAAGAUAUUAUCAGUAUUCAGUGAUAGUGAUCUUUUUUUUAUCAUAACAAUCUGAUAAAUAAUCUUGUUUUCACCGGUAUAUCACUGCAGAUUUACCAUCAGACGUCUCUCAUCAAACACCUGUUUUUGUGGCUGGACUGUAAACUUUGUAGCAGGUCUAGAAAUAUCUGGAAACCCUCGAUAGAUCGACAAAAGGGUAAACUUGUGAACUCUUUUUAUCCCACAGGGAUAGACGGUAAAGUUCCUGAGAAACUGUAAACAAUAAUAAUGGCGUCACGUGGAAUUGGCGAUCCAGCAGAGUUCUGAGCGUUAACAGUUUUCCGGACAUCUCUAUCUUCUCAAACAGACUUCCUCAGCUGAACAGGUGAGUGAAUCCUGCCCGAUAAAUGCCGCCCUGUAAUGACUAAAACACACACACACAUCCUUGACUUUCAUCUUCAGCUUCAUCUUCAAUUAAUUUCUUGAAAUUUGAUUUCAUAUGUCAGCUGAAUUAAAGAAAGAGAGUAAAUAAAUCCCGGGACACACUUAAGUGCAGGCGCCUGAGGACUCUGAGUGCGUAUGAAAAGACGCUAUAAAUAUCUGGCAUGAAUUAUCAUUAGUGAGGAACUUUGCAAUGCAGUGAUAAAUGCAAAUUAGCUUUCCCGUUUUCAUCAAAAGAUAUGUAUGCAUGGGCUCCACGCCGCCUGGAGAGACUUAGCUGCUGUUAAUAUUUGAUUGAGCUGGUUUUCGGCUUUGAUUCUCGCUGCACAGGUGACGUGAGGUUACCUGUGAAAAAUGAUAAACUGUUUUUUAACUUUAGUGUUCAUGCAGAUCUUCAGUCCUCAUACUCUGCAGCUCUCUCUCUUUGUUUGACCCGUUGUGCAGCAGAUGACUGUUUACCGUUUAAUCUGAUUGAUCAAUCUUUAUUUAUACAACGUCAAGUCACGGUUCAAGUGUUUUCACGAAAAAGGUAAAAAGGUCUAGACUCUUUUUAUAAAGACCCACUAUAAAGAAGGGUCAAGAUUGUAUGACGGAGUAUUAGGGCCACAUGAAGAAAAAAAAAUGAAGACUAAGAGAUUCAAGUCGUUCAUUUAUGGGAAUAAAGUCAUUACUAACGAGAAUAAAGUCGUAAUAAAAUCAUUAUGAUUCUUCUGAUAAUGUGAUGCUGAUGUGCCAAAAGAUCAAGUUUCUCCUUGUUUGAGAAAUUUAUAUUGAAGUUCAUUUUCACAAAAUACUCUAUGGCUCUAAUUUUGACAACUGUCAUCUUAAACAACAGGUCCGAAUAUGAGGACUUUUUUCUUGUAAGUAAUAAUUUUAAUGCAACAUUAUUCUUGUAAUAACUUUAUUAUGACUUUACUCUCAAAGGUAAUGAUUUUAAUACGACUUUAUUCUUGUAAUUACUUUAUAACGACUUUUUUUUAACUCAAAAUUUUGACUUUAAUCUCGAAAUUUUGAUUUUAAUUUCAAAAUGAAAAUUAAAAAAAUCUCCCUCCUGUAAUUAUUUUGUUUUCUUCUUGUGGCCCUAAUCCUCUUUCAUAAGAUUGAGACCCACUUCCUGAAACUCUUAACAGCGUUUAUAAGUCACAGAGGAGAGGAAGAACUUCCUUUAACAGGCAGAAACCUGGAGGAGGACCAGACUGAUGUUAGACCGUCAUCUGAGAAACUAAAGUAUACGAGCAGAUUAGAGUUUGGUGAGGAAAAGAAACAUUAAUAAUAAUAAUAAUAAUAAUAAUUUUAUUUAUAUAGCACCUUUAAAAACAGAAGUUUACAAAGUGCUUAGACAACAGUUGUAAGCACAGAGCAUCAGCACAUUGAAAAUAAAAACACAUAAAAACAAAAGCUCAGUUAAAAAACAGGCAUCUGAAUUGUAGGCCUGUUUCACUUUUCGUAAGAAACCCAGGCAAUACAAGAACCCUACAAAAUUAAGGUUAGAUUUACGUUGAGAUGACUGGUUUAUGUUGCUAUAAUUCAAAUAGGGUUAGUGUUGGAGCUCGUGGUGACCAUUAGUUUAUAAAAUACAGUCAGAAAGUCGAUUUCACAUCCUGAUCUUACAGUUUAGUUUGUUUUAAGCCUCUGAAAAGUUGAGUAAGAGUCAAAUCUGAUUUCUCAUUUCUUUGUUUUCCAAAUAAUCCGUCCAAACAUCCAAAUCUAUCAAAGUUAAAUAUCUCUGACAUGGAGUGUUUGUGAUUUCUGUCACAGUGAAUCAGCUCACCUGUCAGCUGAGUGUUUCCAGGUUCUCUCGACUCUUUGGUUCGUUGGCGCUCAGUUAAGUUUCUAUCUGCUGUUUUAAUUUACACCAGAGUGCAUGAUGGGAUAUUGUUUGGUAUGUCUUGAGUGUUGGCGUGGAAAAAGAGCAGAAUUACUGACCUUUCUGGGGGAUUUGACGGAUAAUGCAGAGCGUAAUGAUCUUCAUUUUGGAUUUCCAGAAAAUAAUAAAGCAGAAAAUGGUUUUCUUUUUGUAUCGGAGGAGAUAAUGGAGGCGAAUGACGUUUGAAUUUCACAUUAAUGUGCCGAGUGUUACCUCGGGCGCACCAUUUAACAGACAAAUCGAAAGGCCUACAAAAGCAAGGUUUAUGAGAGAGAUUUAAGGUGAACCUAAUAAACAAAAAACUCUGCAAGCCAUUACAUGAGCCAUUUACAAAAGGGCUGUUAUCACAGGGAGGGAGGCCCGGGUCACGUUAAACAAUCAAUAAUCGGGCUAAUAAAUGAAAGCGCUGAGAAUACGACCAAUAUGAGCGUCUGAUGUUCCUCCGAAGAGAAGAAAAGUGAUAAGAAAUCUGAGACGUAGGAGUGAGAUGGUUGGGAUGAACAUGAGAGAGAGAGAAAUUGAAUAAAAUACCUCACAGAUAAGCGGCUCUGGGCUCCUGUAUUCAGACAGUUUUAUCCCGUUUCUCUGCUUGAUGAGGGAUUAGAUUAAUAGUCAGAUCCAUACGUCCCAACCCGGACUGUUAAUCCCUAAUUUAUAUUGAGGUUUGCGCACCGAAGGGUUCCCCCUGCUUGGUCACGAGAUAAUCUGCGAAGAUAAUGAAUUAAACCAAAUCUCAUGAGUCUUAUUGCUGCUGCUGCAGAAAAUGAAACUUUUACUGAUAUUUUAAUAUAAAAAUGUCGAGUUUGUGCACGUGUGGAGCUUUAAAAGGCCUUGAAAGGUCAUUUUGGGAUUGUUGAGGCAGAUUUAACGAUAUCUACAUCAUUCCCCUAAAACAAAAUGCUCAUAUUUAACAAACACACUCCAUCUGUCGGGUCUCAGAUGUUUAGAGCGACGGCUCCGGGUCCAAGACUUCAGGCACUGAAACACUUUGCAGAAGUUUAUGAUCACUUUGUAUCCUGGAUGUAAAAUUUGAUGUUUUUUUUCUCCAUUCGUUUAUUUUUUAUUCUUUUCCUCCUUUGUCGAGUCACUCUGAAUUUUGCAUCCCACGACAUUUUCAAAGAUGAAGCCUCAGAGCACGAGCGUGAUGUUUAAUUCUUCUUUUUCACCAAUUUUUUAUUCCUACGCUCAGGAAAGCUUUCUCCAAUCUUCCCACCAGAGGACCCAGCGUGUCAUUUAGCCGAGAAAGUAAUCUUCUGUCUCUGAAAAACUUUUGAAUAUUUAUCUCCAGAGUGACAUCUUUAUUACAGUGUACAGAAGAAAUGUGCACAAAGGAAAAUCUGAAUAGAAAAAGCUUUAUUUGUCUGUCUUUGUCUGAGUGAAUCACAGAGAAAUGAGCGACUUCAGCUUCUCUCUAAAUACUGAGGGGAUGCCACAGGGAAGCGUGUUGGGUCCCCUCGUCUUUUUUAGAUACGAACAUAUAUUCUUUUUAUUUGAAUGAGUAAAAGGAUUUUUGAUAGUAAAAUGCUCUAAAAACUAGACUCUAAUAAUGGUACCAAGAAGCAAAAUAUCUGCCUUUGAAUCUUUGUAAUAUUUUCACUUUGUUUGGUUUUUAAAAUCUCCAAAACAAGCUGAAUAAACAAAGUUAAUUUCUUUUUACACAUUAUUUAUAAUUCUUUCGUGGAAUUCUUUACCAAUUUUGUAACCCAUGACUAUCAAUGGCUCUCUUUUCAAUUAAUCACUAAACAGUAACAGUUUUAUAUUUGAUGUUACAUGAUGGUACAAUGUUACAGAUUACACCAAAACGACGUCAAUCGAUUGGCUGACUGAUGAAUCAAUCUUUCUCUGUUUUCUUAUUUCACGUUUUUUUUCUCUUUUGUUCCAAGCGCAUGUUUGAAAUCCGUGAAAAUAACAUAAAAAGAAUGACUUACUGUUUCUUUAAAUAAUCGUUAACCUCCUCAUUAACACUGACUGUAUCUGUUUUACUGUUGGUGCAUCUGACUUCUGAUAAUUAACAAAGAUACAAUCAUCAUUUGACUUUGCUCGGUGUAGCUCCACCAUUAUUAACUCAUUAACAGCACCAGUACCAGACAUUAACAGUGUAAUUAAUAUUGAGUAAUUGUGAGGCAUUGUUUUUGCAUGAAUGAGUGAUAGUUGUAUUUAUGAUUAUCUUAAUGUUGGCUUCUGAUGAUGAGGGAAAAAUCGUUAAAUUAUUUAACUUUAGCUGAAAGUUCCCAAAGAUCCUAAAGAGGUUCUGAAAUUACGGAAGACAAUUAGGGCCACUGGAAAAUAAAAAAAAAGAGGUCAGAUAUAAUUUUUAAAUUAUCAUUCUGAGAUUAAAGUCAGAAUUCUGGCUUUUUUUUUCUCAGAAUAAUAAUUUAAAAAAAUUAUAUCAGGCCUUUUAUUUCCCCCAGCAGCUCUAAUCUAUGGAUGUGUAUUGCAUUUACCAAAAAAAAGAAAAAAAGCUUUGUUUUUCAGGGUAAUUUCUUUCUGUUCUUUUCUUGGUACUAAUUUUUUCUGCUUUUCAGAGAAUUUUUGAUCUUUUCUGUGUUUCCGACUGCGGGGGGUUUGUUUUGUUUUUCAGACAAAUUAUUUUUCCUAUUUUCAUUUAAAAACAGACGCUUUUAUCCCCUUCUGCUCGAUUUAUUAGAAACAAACACGGCCCACUUUUUUAGUUUAAUCAAGUUUUACUUUAUUUUGGGUUUGAGACACUGAGAGAUACAUCUUUCUUUUUCUUUAUGAGAUUCUCUCAGGAUUUUGAUGAUCUCGCUUAGUCAGGGGAAAAAUAAUAGUCCAAAAAACAGAAAGACAAAAAAAUAGUACAAAAAACAGAAUAAAAAUUUGUCUGAAAAACAGAAAGAGGGGGAAAAAUAUAUUAGUACAAAAACUGAAGAAACAAAAUAGUCAGAGAAAUAGAAGAAAAAAAUCUGUUAGAAAAACAUCGAAGAAAAAAGUUACUCAAAAAAAUAGUUUACUUUUUUUUUGUAAGUGAAUGCAUUACGCUUCCUUACUAAUCCUCUUCUCUAUAAAACAGUUAAUUCAUGUAUUUUUUUGCUGCAGGGACUUUGUGUCAAACAGACAUCGAAACAUCGGGUCAUUUGGUUAAAGUGACGAACAUUUGAGUUUUUAUUUUACAUCAGUUUAGAUUGAGAAAAGUGGACACAAUCUCAGGUUUUCAAUUUUAUCUGAAGUGUAAAUGACAAAUUCCAUCUUCGCCUUAAGGUAAAAAUAAACACAGUCUGGAACAUGAGGCCGUCUGAGCAGAAUCUGAGUGUAUAAACGAGGCCAAAACGACAUUAAAUUUGCAUCAUCGGCUUUGGGUUUGGAAAUCAUUGAAAAGUUCAUUUACAUGUAGUCGGAGGGAAAAUCAAUUUCACAUGCUGAUUCUGUUGAUCCUCCUUUUGUGGAUACAAAUAUCCAUCAACAGAGAGGCAGGCAAAUCAUGCCCUCGAGACACGGCUGUGCUUAGCAAGCAGCUAAAAGAGUGAGAGGGUCUGCAGAGAGAAACCCACACAGUCCUCAGAAAGAACACCGUGUCACACACACGCACACACAAACACACACACACACACACACACACACACACACACACACACACACACACACACACACACACACACACUCUUUUCAGUCUGAGUGUUCCUGCAUUUGAAUGAAGCACCAAUUUAAGAAGCACUGCAGGAGCUUCUCUGACAUAACCUCCCCCAACAAAAACACCAACAACUAUAAAGAAACUCAAGGAUGUUUUAUUUGUCCGGAUUCGCCUCGUAAGUCGUAUUUUUUCAGAUCUGGAUUGUGGGAAUGAAUGCCUGCUUGGAAAAUAAAAUCACAGUCUGUCCGAUUUUUGAACAUCUAAAAGGCCACGAGGAUCUAAAAGAGGAAAUCCACAUUUUUGCAGUGCUGGAGAAAGAGCGGUGGAGCAUUUUAAAGUGCAUUUAUGUUAAAUCUGACUUACCAAAUGAGCUGCUGUGAGAAUUUCCCUCUGAAGAGAUCUGCAGCAGAUAAAAAGAGCCGGCCCAGAGUGCCUGUGAUCAGAGAGGAGGACGCAGAUCGAGCGAAGAGCAUCAGAUAAAGACGCCUCCAUUGAGGAACCGCAUGGAACGUUUCCAAACAGACAGUAAGAUUGGUUUCCAAUUCCUCCCAUCAGACAAAUUGAGCCCGGUGGCCAAUUAUUCCCACCGCCAAUUAACCUUGCAACCGGCUCCCUCUCAGCCCCUGCGUGAGUCAGCCUGCCAAAUUUGCUUUUGCCUGUCACGUCAGCAUCGCUGAUGAAAACAGACAGGGAGAUUCUUCAGUGCUGCAUAAACAGAGCCGAAUAUCAUUGUAGGAAUCCAUACCAGCUCCUGCAGGAGACACAAACGGCAGCAUCGCAGGGACGCUGAACAGGCUGAAAACAUGCUAAGUGGACUCUGUUUAGAGAAACCUUUGAGGCAGCUGAAGACGGGAAAUCUUUAAAAAGAUGUAUAACCUAUAGAUACCCUAAUCCCCGGCUAAUCAAUUAAGAGACCUUCAACCAAUUCAGGCCUGAAGGCGAUCUUUGAGUGGUCCCAACCUGACCAGCAUCAUGAACCCAACAUGUAAUUAAACAGAAGAUAUCGUUGAAAGAGUGACCCCCAGUUUCCACCGCAUCCAGAACGGCUAUGAAAAGGUCGUAUCCUCCGAUCGUAGCUGGAAAGGACAACUGGACUUACUUGUAGUCCAAGUAAGUCCAGUUGUCCUUUCAACAAAGAACUGUAAAUCAUAGAUGCUUCAUCCUCAGUUUUAAACAACAUCUCAAGGUUUACCCCCAAUCUCCACCUUCAUCCUGAACGUCUACUAAAAGGUUGUAUCCUCCGAUCGUAGCUGAUCGUAACCAUCCAAGUUAACGUGUCAAUUUCCACCGACUUCUUUCCGUUCCUCUGCGGAUCGCCGGACUCCGCAGCCGAUCGCAAGAGUUCUAUUUUUUCCGGACGCCGGAUCAUGGUGGAUAAAUUCAGCACAGAUUAACCCGUGCUGGAAAGGAAGUCAGGCACAGACACAAAAUAAAACCAUCUGGCUUCUUUUCAAAAUAAAAUAAUCUGUGUUUUAGGUGGAUCGUAUUUCAUACCAUGCAAAUGACCGGAGACGGACAAGUAAAAGGUUUUUAGACGUCAUUUCACCCCGAUGACACCAUGGAUGAGGAGAUGCUGAUUCUAGAAGUCUAGAAGUAGAUUUCCUCCUCUGGAAGGACACAAUCUACUGUUUUUAUGGUUAGCCUCUGUGGCUAAAGACAACUUGUUAUCGCGCGAUUGAACGUGAAUCCGCAGGUUCCUGUGAGUUCUUGCGAUUCCUGCUGUCCAUAACCCACCGGAUGUUUUAUUUUGUGUCUUUGCCCGACUUCCUUUCCAGCACGGGUUAAUCUGCUGAAUUUAUCCGGCAUGCUCGGACGUCUGGAAAAAAUAAAACUCUUGCGAUCAGCAGCAGAACGUAAAGACACAAUAACUCAAAUGGUGACGAUCAGCUAUGAUCGGCAGAUACGGCCUUUUUGUAGACGUUCCUGAUGCGGUGGAAAUUGGGGGUGAGGCCUCGUCGCUUUCAAAGUCAGCAGGUUCGCCUUCUUGGUUGAUUUCAUAAAGAAGCACCGGUUUGUUUCGGUCUGUUUCAUUGUCUGGGGAAAAACGCCUCAGAGAAGCUCUGAGUUCAGAGAUCCAGCAACAACAAUUCAGACUCAUUAUACGAAUACUUCCUUUAAUGACACACAAGUGAAAACAAGCAUCUGCAGCAGGAAACAUUCUCCACAUACCUUCAUACACACCUUUGUAAUUAUCAGGAGGUGAAAAGGGCAGCGCAGUCAUUAAAUGCAUUAUCAAUACCGAGUCAGUCAGAGAGGGAGACAUUAGAAAAAUAAGAGUUCAGCGCUUUGAUUUUGUGUGGUGAUAAAAAUGUUUCAGACUACGCUGAUUUCUGGCCAGACACCAUCAUCCUCUCCACUUCAUGAAGCCGUAAAGCGGAGCAUCUGUCUUUAAACCCUCAUUGAACACUCCCGCGCUCAAACCCGUCAUUUCUAUUUCUCACUGCAGCAGAGAAAGUGUCUCCAUCAUCAUUAAACCUCCGUGUGUGUGUGUGUGUGUGUGUGUGUGUGUGUGUGUGUGUGUGUGUGUGUGUGUGUGUGUGUGUGUGUGUGUGUGUGUCUGCGCGCCUGGAAUCUUCACACCUUUGUGUUGUCUUUCACCCACACACCAGGGACCUUUAUUAUUAUGAUGCCGCAGCAGGGAGCACCUCCUCCCUCCCGUUUCUCCCACAUUUACAUUCAGUAUCAUCCAUUUACGUAAAAACCUACAUUAGAUGAGUAGGCAGGCCUUCGCUGCGUUGCUCUAGGGCAUUAUAGAAGUAUUCAUGCUUGUUAAUGGACAAGUUGGCUGCUGUGGGAAUAGACAAGAAAAAUAAGUGGAACGACUUUGCACCCGUAGAAAGUGCUAAUGCAUUUAUGAGAGGUGAUAUUUGCUUUAAAUUAUAUAACUGUAAUGACUCUGUCUCACUCCAACUCCUGAACCCUGUUUACACUUCAAACUUGAGCAUCCGCCGGGGAUUUGACUUACAUUAAAUGAAAGAUCACGCUCAAAGUGCAGCUCAUCUGAUUCAGCUGAUGCAUCAGUGUUAUUUUUUAUUGGAGAUCAGAGAAGUUUGAUUAAGAUGUUAAAACUUCUUUAUGAUUGAGUGCACACCGCGAUUUAAUAUCUGCAGAGCCGGAGGAUGCAGUUUAAGGACCUCAGUUCCUGCAGUGCGUCUGGGACCCUGGUGUUCUCAGAGUCUGCAGACGUGAGUCUCUGGGUUAGGGCUGGGCGAUAUGGGAAAAAGUUUAUCACAAUAAAUCUUUAUCAUAUCAGUGGAUAUUGAUAUUUAGCACUUGUCAUCCUUAAAUGGUCCGUGUUACUCUUAAAUGAAGUUUAAAGAUAUCAGAAGGUUCAUUUUUAUUUAAAUGUCAAAGUUGAACAUUAUGUAACAUAAAACUGUUUCAAACAGAAAAACCUAACUACAAAUAAAUUUAAAAAAUAUGAAUUAAAAAACUAAAAUCUUAAAUUAGGUAAGGAAACAACAUAAAACAAAAUUGACAUUAUUUUAAUGUUAGAUAAUAAAUAAAAUUGAAAUCAAAAUGGAGAAUUGUUUUACGUCCAUGGAGCUGUUAACGAGGGUCCAUUACUUUAACCAUCGACUUAAAUCUCUUUUUUUUUCCGACAGUGUUUAUUGGUCUCAUGUCUUUUCCAAUGCAAUAAUCUCCUGCAUCUGUGAAGUCUUUGUGUCUCUUUGACAUUUUGUCGUAAAGUUGACUGAAUGGUCGUCUGUUUCGGCUCCUCGCUCCUCUCGGGGUUUGUAACCUUUUGCGUUGCGCGUGCUCUGCGGCAUGGCGCUGCUUCCGGUGGUGAAAAAGAUUUGAGGUAUUCCCCGACUUUGUGAGAACAUGUACUCGACAUAAUUUACAGUCCACAUUACUCUGCUUCAUGUCCGACCUCCAAAAACAAAAUACCUCCACACCACCGACGUUUUCCUAACGCCAGUGUUGUGGUUGACAUUGAUGUGGUCAUCUGUUGAGCCUUCAUCGUCAUUUCUGUCGGGGUAGCACUCAUUUUGUUUUCUGUCGGCUUCACCUGUUAAAGUGCUGUGGUUGGGUGUAGCUGCUGUGUGAUAUGACGAAGUCGUUUGAUACUUGGUUCUAAUUUAGCUCAUGAUUGGUUCAGACCCGGAGUAACUCCCCUUGUCAUUGGCUAUUCGUAUAGUCUACCAAAACAUGGCAGAAUGCCGACUAUCGCAUAUUGACCAUGUUUCAUAUCAGUAUAUUAAUUAAUUUUUAUAGAAUACAAUAUAGAAAUUAAUUUGUAUAUAUAUAUGUUAUCAUUUUAUCGCUUAGUCCUACUCUGGCUUCAUGCACAUGUCAUUUUCUUUGGCCUCUUAUGAUAAGAUGGAUCAUAAACAACUUGAGCAAGAGCAGAUCGAUCUAUCUAUCUAUCUAUCUAUCUGGAUCUUCUAUGGAUAAAAUCUAAAUCUUUCUACUGGAUCUAUUUGAUCAUAGAGACACUUUCCUAAAAGGAGGGCAGAAGACUGUCGGACUUGUAUUAAAGUAAAUUUUACUGACUUUGAAUUAACCGAUAAACUUUUCAUCCGAGGCCCCCUCUAGUCAGAGUAUCUCAACCCCCCUCCUGUCGCCUCCAUUCAUCAGUCCUGCACAUGAAUCCAUUCACUCCCUGCUCUCCUCUCAGCUCGGCUGGUUCUGCAGGUUAAUCUACAUCUCCUCAUGUCCUUACACUCUCUUGUAUUGUUAUAUUACAGAGAAAAAAAUGAUACAGGCGGCAAACAAACAUUCAAUAACGCUCUAAAGAUUCACCCACAAAGGAGCGUUCACACCACAAACAAUAUUAGAUUUCUCUUCUCAGGAGCCUGGCAGAAGCAGCAACUUAACUUGAUCUAUGGAUUUCAUUUAACGUUAUCUAAUAUAGCGCGGUGAAGCUCAUUUGUUCAGGCCCAGAACACUGAAGCUUAUUACUGUGAAAGACACUGGAAAUGGUUCUGCAGACCGUCAUGGAAAGCUCCUUUAGUGAGCGCUCCUCUGCCUGGAUUUUAAUUUUCCUUUGUCAAGUUUUGAGGGCACAGAUCGAGUAAAAAAACACGAACGAGAAGGAGGAGGACGAUGAAACUUCAAAUAUGUUUUUGUUAAGGAUGGAUGAUUGUAAAGGCCUGAUAGUUGGGUUAUGGAGGAAAGGUAGAGUAGUUGUUUAUGAUGUUUAAUGGAGUGAAGGAUGUUCUGACCGACACACGCCUACCUGAGAUCUUCAGAUACUCCAAUGUAGGGCUGGGCGAUAAACCGAAAAAUUACAGAUACUGAAAUUUACAACAAUAACCGACGUCGUUUUGCCCAUUUCUGUAUAUUCAGUGUCAAAAAGUUACCAAGGUGAACUGAUCAAUAUAUCGUGAUAUUGAUUUUUGGCUAUAUCACCUAACCCUACUCUAAAGUGAAUCAAAACAACCAGAAAAGAUGCAGAAAAAAAAAAACUCUAAACAGCCAAAAAGUGAUGCAAAAACAUGACGAUUGAUGUCUCAAUAACAACAAAAAACUUAAAUCUGAUGGAAGAAAUGCAAGAAAAAUAAAUGAGCAAGAAUAAAAACAGAAACAUUCAUUAGAAGUGUGCAAAAUGAUCUAUAAGGGACAAAAAGGUGCAUAAAAUAAACUCAGAUCAUAAAUACUAUCAUUAAAACAAUGAAAGAGGUGAAAAAUAUAUAACCGCACAGAGAAAACUUCAGAUUUUUAACAUUUUCACGUUGUAAUUGAUCCAUUUGGAUCAUCUCAGCUGCUAAAUCUGGUCUAAAUGAAGCAUCACUAUGCAGCGUUCACUCCAACGUGAACUGCAAAAUCUCUUUAACUCUGAAUUUAGAUGGACAGAGAGGAGCAUCAGUCAGAGUGGAGCAGGAAUUUUAACCCUUUAUGGACAGAGCAGACUUCAUCCAUGCAAACCUUUAAUCCUUGAACACAGUCUAGUUAGUUAUUCGUCCAUAAUGACUUCUGUCUCUGCAGACACCUCAUGUUGUAGAGACUGUAGUCCGUCCAGUUCCAGCCUGACUCGGUGCUUGUUGUCACCUCCUUCUUUAUCCUCCUUCCUCUGUCUUUAGUUUUCCUCUCAAAUAAAAAACCCAAAUUAAUCUGCAGAAAAGGACAGUGGAGAAUGUGGAUUAGAAACCUGACACAGUCGCCUGCUGAGACAGAUAAUUCUGCUCUGUGGGGCGUCGAAUUUCAACCUGAGAAAGUUUUUUUCAUGUAGUUUAAUCUUCUCGCUUUAACAGAGCGACUCCAAAACAAAGAGAAGAGAAGAGCGUCAUUAUCUUCGGCUCCUGUAAACCACAAUAAUUAAUACCUGAAGCGUGUUUGAUGCAUUAUCGGGACUUCUCUCUGCAGAGAUCAUAAACAUCUAAGGGUCAUGAUAUCCCCUCGUGUCUUUAUUGCAUCUGACAUAAUCGCUCAUGAGCAGGAAAUGAUGAUGUCACGGCGUGCACAAACAAAGCCUCUGAACGCUCAGAGCGACGCCGUCUUUAUUCUCCUCCUUUUAAUCUGCUUUGCAGGUGCUUGUGGUUUCAGAAAACGCUGCCAAAUCGCGCUUACGUUUUCUCUCCUGCCUGUUGGACAGAACAAUGGAGGAUCCUCGCCAUGGACAGAAAGCAUAUUUCACACAAACACACACGCACACACACACACACACCUACACAGGAAGAGAGGGAUAGAUUAGAGACAAGAGGCUUAAGGCGUGAAAAGCACAAAUAUGAUUUGUCGGAGGAGCGUUCUGGUACGGUGUCACGCUCGCUCUUCUCGGGUUUCUUUAUUAGCGGCUUCGUUUGUUUGCCUGCUGCGCUCUGUGUUCGCUGGAAGUAAAACGCACAAUCACCGCGAGUAUUCACAAUGGAGAGAGCGUUAAAUAAACAAUAGUGAGAGACUUGAGGGAAGCAUUACAGAUUCAACAUGUUGAUCUAAGCCUGUGUGUGUGUGUGUGUGUGUGUGUGUGUGUGUGUGUGUGUGUGUGUGUGUGUGAAGGGAAUAAUGAUGCCGGAUAAAGAGGCACAUUUCUUACCUGGAUGGAUGUUUAAAGUACAGCUUAAAAGCUUUCCAACACAAGCAUGGAUUUCCUCUUCUGCGCUCUCGGCUGUCAUUAAGUCAAUACUUUUAAUAAAUCAGAUCUAAUCAAGUAAAAGGACGACAGUGUAUGAAAGUGUUCUCCCUGCAGAACCCUCACAGCUCCUCAUCCUACUUAAACAGUGAUUACAUUCGUUUAACUAGGCCCUGAUGGAUCCCUCUGUUUAACUACGUGGACCUGCUGCACUUCGUUCACAUAUACAUUUCUCUAUCUGCGCAAAGCAUUAUGGGAGGUCUAAUGAUGCAAGCCGAGCUGGAGGGGCAACAGCUUUGAACCCUGACCACGUCAGACUCAUCCAGAAACAGAAAAACGGUGAUCUUCUAUGGAAUCAAUUAACCUUAUAAGGAAGUGGUCGGUUUGGAGGUCGAACGAUCAGGGAGCAACAGGUGGAGAGAGGAGGAGGAGAGAAGGAGGAGGAGAGAGAGGAGAGCAGGGAGAGAAGAGAGAGGGGGAGGAGGUAUUAUCACCACCAGAUAAGUCCCGGAAACCUGAUUUGUACUGCGCAUGUGUGAAACAAACGUCACUUCCUCUUUUAGUGUUUCAAUGCAUUUUACUGCAGUUAGUCGUUUUUAUUGCUACUGACCUGAUCCGUACUGAGCGAGUGAAAGUAAAAACUUUAUUUAAACUACCGAUUAGGGCCCGACUGAUAUGGAUUUUUUGGGGUUGAUGCCGAUACUGAUUAUAAGGGAAGAAAAAAAAACAAUAGCUGACUAAUCGGCUGAUUUUUUAAAUCUUUUAGGAAGUUUUAAAAAUUUUGUUGAUUUAAGUAACAUAAAUACAUAUUGUUUUUUAAACAAAUGGCUGCUUUUGAGCCUUUCAAACACUUAAUAUUAAUCUCAGUAAUAUUCCCUGUAUUUCUCAUGACUUCAUCAUGAAUCAAACUCUGACCAGAGAAGCGUUUUCAACUGAAGAUUGUCAUGAGGUCGCUGCGCCAUCUACAGGAUAGGUCGGGGAACUUUUCAAAUGGCCGAACAUUUUCGAAGUGAAACUGAAUCUUAUUCUCCGCAUUUUAUUUUUGAAAAUAUCGGCGACAAUUGGCGAGUUUUGGCCGAUUACCAAUUCAUCUCAAACGGGCUAAAAUUGGCCGUAUUAAUUGGCUCGCCAAUAAAUUGGAAUGUAACUUACUCUUUUCGUGUUUCAAUGCAUUUUACGGCAGAUAGUCACUUAUUGCUACUUUCCCGAUCCGUAAUAAAAACUUCAUUUAAAUUACCGAUCAAUUCUGAAACAAGUCGGUGUUGUGACAGGCUAGCUAUCAGGACGCUCCAGAGCUAAUGCCGAGGCAUUCGCCAGAGCUCCUGCCCAGCACAAUGAGACAUUUUGGGCGCCAGCACUUGGUCAAAAUUAUGGACGGGUGCUGGCGCUCCCUGUGGCCCAAAACGUCUCACUGUGCUGGGCAGGAGAUCCAGCGAAUGCCUCGGCAAUAGCCCCUGUCAAAGCUAUGGUUCUCUGACUUUUCAAAGUAUCAAGGGAGGAUUUAUUUCAUUAUUUAAUGAACCAGCCGUAGUAAGAACUUUUAAUCGUGAAACUGGGCGCCAUUCUCUUGACUUUUCGGCGCUCUGCUUUAGUUGAAGAAUUGCUGAGCUGUCACAAAGAUGGCUAGUAGAGGAAGUGACAUAAAUUUCGCACAUGCACAGUACAAAUCAGGUUUCUAGGACGGAUCAGGUAGUGACAGGGAUGAGAGGAGGAGGAGAGAGGAGAACAGAACAGGUUCUCCUGGAGCACUCGUCAUUUUUGUCUCAGUGUUUUUCUGCACCUGUCAAUCAAUAUUUAAACAGCCAAUCAGAGCAGGACCUCAUUCAGACAGCACCUCCUCCACUCAGGUCACUUCACAGAUAGUGAGGAAAGAAACUGAGAGGCUGCAGAUCAUCCAUUUGUUAUUAUAACUCCACAUGUCUAACCUUUACAUGAGAGCUCUCAGUGAAGCAGCAGAGGUGGGCGUCGUGUUUCCAGGAAGAUUGGAUUCUUGUGGGUGAGGUUAUGAUUAAUAUUAUUAUUCUGAAGUCUGAGGGUGCAGAGGCUGGUUUUCACUGAAGUUCUGUUCAGAAUUGUACAGAAAGUAAAAGCAGAGAAACUUCAGCCAUUGUCUCUGAGUAAUAUCAGGAGAAUACAGAAUUUCGUUGACGUCUUCCUGCAAUCUCACAGCCGGUCAAGUCACAGAUUCAUCCACAGACGUCUCAUAUUUUUGUGGAAAAGGCUCCGGCUGAUAGAUGUUGUAUAACAUGCCACCGAGGAGAGAAGACAGACAGUCUUCAGUGAAACAGACUUUCAAGAGUGACUCAUCUCCCAAAUCAUUUACUGUGAGGCUGAGAGAGGCUCAAUCCAACAUUUUAAAGAAACAUCAAACUUGUCUGAGCACCAGAACCAGCCCAUUUAUUAUCAAGCAGCUCUGCUUCCACUGUUGGAUAAUGUGACAAUGGGAGAUCAGCAGGAUACCGUCACCCUUUUAUAUCACUCAGCUGUAAGAAGACGACAGGCUGGAUCUUCAGUAAAUGUUAAUUUGCUCUGUUUGACAGCCUGCACUGACACGGACAAGAUUACAUUUUGUUGGCUGUUAUCUCUGGAGUCAGCCGAGGAUCCAGUUUCACUUUCACAAACCAAACUUUCUUCCUAACAGACUUUUGUUUUGUGUGUAAGAAGUGAGUUUGAAUGAGCUCAGACUGAGUGGAGUAUAGGGCUGGGUGAUAUGGUCUUAAAUCAAUAUCAGGAUAUAUUGAUCAGUUCACCUCGAUAACGAUAAACAGACAAUAACUAAUCCGCAAGCUGCUCACCCCCUCCCACAUUAACUUCGUCUACUUCAGCCGCUCCAACUUUCUCUCCGUCCUCCAUCUCCUCACCUGUCUUUCCCUCUUUGUUACAGACUGGAUGGGGUGGAGUCACGUCUCUGAUGUAGGACAGCGUCUUAAAGGGACAUGAGACCAUAGCCUACCUACACACAUCCGAAAACAACUUUGAUUUAUUUAUUUCUUUGGCUCUGAAUAAAGGCUGCACGAUAUUGGAAAAAACGAACAUUGCAAUUUUUUUAAACCCUGU